rnacentral:lncRNA from 1 species
GGGUGCUCUCCCCCAAGCUGAAUUUUGACGUAAUUUCUCUUGAUGUAGCUAGCAGGUGGCAGAGGUGUAUUUGAAAGCAGCAUUCUGACAGCGAUUAGAAUGUCCUCUGUCUGCUAGUCUUCUUGAUUCUUAAAUUCUGUGGAGCUCAAAUAGACAACAAAGCUUGUGGAACUGAUUAAGUGUUAGCAUAAAUAUCUAGCCUUUAUCAUCUUGAGACUCCUUAAUUAUUACUCCCUGUUUUUAUAUUUUUAUUUUUAUUUUUAUAAAGCAGAAAAAAUAUUUAUUUUAUUUUUAUGCCACCAUAGUGAAUGUACGUAUGGGUUUUAUGCCACUCGUCUAUUCACAUGGGGCUUACUAUUUUUCACAUUUUUAUUUUCUUUUAUUUUUAAGAUAGUAUGAGCAUGUUUAACUAAGUAAACUAUUUAAAAUAACUGAAAGGGAAAGGAUAACUACCAAGUUUACCUCUUGGCAAGGCGUUCGGUGUUUUUAAGUCCUCCGAACGGGACUCUCCAAUUUCUUAAUCGUCCUGAGGUUCGUUGGGUGGCGUAGUCGGUACUUCCGGCAGCGCCUCCUCUUCUUGUAUAGUUAUCUUCAUUUUCCACACCUGACUCGGUGCUUCGAUCUCCUCUGGAUAAUUCUGUUUAAACUCUACGUCUUCUGACCUUACAACUUCUCCUUCAUAGUCUGCCCAUCCGUCCUUGAUGAUCUGCCUCCUCUGGUUGCGGUUGCGUCUCUUUCUGACCUGCUUAGAUUCUUCAACAAUAUAGUUAGGGUCAGUAAAAUAACGGCGUACCUUCUCUGAGAGGAAGUGCAUAUGGACUUCUCCGGUUCCAAUGUAGAUAAUGGCUUUAACGGUGCUGAGGAACGGUCUUCCAAGGAUGAUGGGUGGAUCAUACUCGUCUUCUCCCAUGUCAACAACUUGAAAGUCUGUGUAGACAAAGUGAUCGUCUAUUUUGACUGGGACAUCAGAUACUAUUCCUUGAACUUCUCGAAAUGUCUGAUCUGCCAUCUGGAGCUGAAUGUAUGUUGGUCUUAGUGGCAUGGUCCCGAACAAGAGCCGAUAGGUGACUGCGGCCAUUAUGUUGACGCCCGAUCCGGUGUCACAAAUUGUCUUGUAGAAGUUGUAUCUAUUUAUGGAGUAGUAAAUGCUUGGCAUUCCUGGGUCGUCCUUCUUGGUCAAGCACGGUGACUUAAGUUGGUGAUCUUGGCCUCCAUGGACUACAGUGACCAUCUGAGCUGACUCGGUCCACACUUGCUUGUUCCUGUUCCUCCUGUUGGUCCUCUUCCUUGAUUGAUGUCUGGAUUGAUUUGGAAUUUGUGUAGUCUUGUUUUUGAAGAAAAAUGUCUCCUUCUUCCCUUUGACGUAGAAACUGAUCUUGGCAGCACUGGCGUAGAUGAUAGCUCCCGUGGUGUUCAAAAAUGGCCUCCCUAGGAUGAUAGGUGCUCUCUCAUCAUUUCCGGUCUCUACCACUACGAAGUCUGCUGGUGCAUACAAGGUACCAACUUGGAUACAAAGGUUCCUCACUAUUCCUUUUGGGAAAGUUAUCGUCUGAUCUGCAAACUGCAAACACAUGGUUGUCUCUAGUAAAGGAUAUGUAAAGAAUUUUUCAUAGAUUACCCUGGGUAUAAUGUUGACACUGGAGCCAAAGUCACAGAGUGCUUCUGGGAAGUCCACCAUGCCGAUGGAGAUCAGGAUGACGGGGCGUCCUGGAUCGCCUCUCUUGACCGGCAGACGGUCAGUAGAAAAUUCAUUGACGGGGUUACUCCAAUUACCUGCAUCAAACACGUCUACAAGAUUUGCAGAUUCUAAUCCUUCCGGUUGUGAUGGUAUACCGGGGUUAGUAGUAGGAACAGCAGCAGCUAUCUGAUUUAACUGAGAUUCAAUCAUUUUAUUAAAGCUAAUUUGAUUCUUGAUGGCAGUAGAAAAAUUAUCCAUUCUAUUAUUUAUAUUUUCUAGCAUUUUAUCAUUAGAUGCCAAUUUCUUAGAUAGAUUAUCCAUUAGCUUUCCUUGAUUAGACACUAACUCUCUCAAAGGUGGAAAAUUAUUAUUGUUGUUGUAAGAAUUGUUACCUUGAUAAUUACCUGAGUAGUUAGGCCUCUGUUGAUUCCAACCUUGAUUUUGUUGAGGACGGUUGUAGUAGUUGUUGUUGUUGAUGUAGUUCACAUCCUCAAGUAUCUCAGGGCAGUGGUUGCCUGAGUGUCCAGUGUCUCCACACUCCUCACAAGUCAUGUGAGAGUCGUAGAUGUGCAUAACUUCUUUCUUGUCUCCAGCUUUAUCAUCGAGCUUCUUCAUGAGCAGGUCUAGCUUUGCAGACAGCAUGUCUACCUCCUUCAGCUGAUGCAUACCUCCACCUCUCUUGCGUGUCUGGGUCCUCUCUUCAUUCCAGCUUUGAUUGGACGCCAUCUUCUCCACAAGAGCUGUGGCUUGUGGUAUAGUAAGUGAUAAGAAUGCUCCUCCAGCUGCAGCAUCCAUGGUCUCUCGGGCACUGUUGUUGAGCCCAUGAUAGAAUGUCUGCAUCAAUAGCCAACUCUCCAUUCCAUGAUGGGGACAUUCUAGGAUGUAGUCUUGAAAGCGCUCCCAUGCUUCUGGAACAGAUUCAUCAUUUUGUUGCUGAAAACUUGUAAUCUUCCCACGGAGAGCAUUGGUCUUGCCCAUGGGAAAGAACUUAGCCAGGAAGUUUGUUGAGCAGAGUGCCCACGUAGUAUUCUUCUCCUUUGUAGCGUAGAACCACUGCUUCGCUCUUCCUAACAGUGAGAAUGAGAAGAGGCGAAGUAAUAUAGCGUCUUUGGAAACUCCUGCUAUGGUGAAUGUGUUGCAAAUCUCCAGGAAGUGUUGUAAAUGAGCACUAGCAUCUUCAUGUGCCUUCCCACAGAACUGGUUGGAUUGCACCAUGUUGAUAAGUCCAGGCUUGAGCUCAAAGUUGCCAUCGAUCUCUGCAACAGGUCCAGUGCGGAUGUUGUCCGUAGUGGGAGCUGAGAACUCGCGGAUCGAUUUGUUCGCCAUGGCUUCGAACUCUGAAGACAAGUUUCGGUGAUCUUCUUGAUUGGAUGAAGCUUCUUGCUGAAGUGUUGAUGAUUUCUUUAGCUUGGCCCUCGUCUUCUUGAAUAAUGCUUCAGGAUCGUCAACAAAAUUCCCUGGAAGAUGUCUUCUAUUCAUACAUUCCCCUGCAUAAGAUAAAAUAGAAAAAUAUCGGGGUAAAACUGUAUGAGAGAAUAGAUAAGCUCAAUCAUAUUAGUGAUGCGAAUGAUAUCUCAAAAUCUUUUAUUCCAUUCCUGAUUGGUAAUCAACCUUCCCCGGCAACGGCGCCAAAAAUGCUUGUUGGGUAUUCUUAACAUCAUUACCAAAAGUAGACUAAGUUCUAAAUCUAGCAACGGUGCCAAAAAUGCCAAACCUAUCCCUCACACCACUUAAGCCAAGUUGUCAUCCCCAGCAUGACAUAAGAGACGCGGUAUUGAAAUAUGCAAUUGCUCUUCUAAAUAAAUAAUGAAAGGAAUCUGCAAGUGCACAGAUUAAUACCGAUGCAGCAUUUUAACCGGGAAGUAUUCCAGGUAUCGUUAUUUAUAUUUUUACCACUGGGAAGGGAUUAAUCAAUCAUCACUAUUGAUUACAGAAUAGAAUAUGAGAUUGAGUAUCUAUCAUUGCAUGUAUAAUUGAGAACAUUAUAUCUAACUCUUCGUACAGGGAUAAGUGUCACAUAAAAGAUAUAUGAAAUGAAAAUAGUGACAAGGAUAACUAAUCUGAUCUAGCCACAUAAUAAAUAUGAUAAGCUCCUCAAUUAGAUACUCUAGAAAGUCAUUAGCAUGGUAUUAGAACGAACUACAAGAAUAUUCCCUAAGUUAUUCUUAACUAUAUAGUCUAGCAUAUCAUAGUUAGUGCAAGCAUACUUAGCAAUCAUUGCGAGACAAGACUACGCCCAUGCAUAGUGAUAUUAGCAAGGAAUAUGAGAAACAUAGCAAUCACUCCCCUGUAAUAAUGUUGCUCUGCCAGCCCAAUACACGAGAGGGGGACUAUAUAAGAAUCAAUGAAGCUGUCACUAUCACGAACUACCCCACGAUCUGGCAUAUUGGGUACAAUCGCAGAUAAAUACGGUAUAAGCACCACGCCUACACAAUAUCUAUCAUUUAUCCAUGGAUCCGAUGGAUAAACGCUAUACGAUCCUAAGCAUGUAUAUAGAUCGUAUCUAACUAAGCCAAGUACAUAACUAUGAUAAACUAAGAACAAUAUAAUCUUGAAUAUAAGCAAGUAGAGCAAAGUCAUAAGCAAUAUAUUGAAGUAGAACAAAGUCAUAUUCAUAAUAUUGAAGAACAAAGAUAAUUAGAAAGCAAUUAGAAGCACAAUUAGAAGAUUACCAAGAAUCCUCCUGACAGAUCCGGAAACCAAUCGAAGAUUGACUCCUUCUAGUUCUAAUCCUAUGUAGCUAUGCUAAUCUAGAUAUCUAAUUGAUGUGGUGGCUCUAAUCUUGAUCAGAGGCUUCUUCUCCCUUGAUGGAACAAUGAAUUAGGGUUGAGAGGCUCCCUCCUCCAGGGGCCAGGGGGUCUGGUUUUAUAGUCCCUUCAAGUGAAUAUGGGCCCUUGGAUCAAACCGACAUAGAUUGUAUGGUUUAGAUUCAUCCUUUAGGUCGGUGGAGACUUCCCGCAAAGCAGAGUCCUGAUUGGACUCCAGAGGUGGGCGGGCGCCCUGACCAACUGGGCGGCCGCCCAGGGUCUGGCCCCGUUUCGCCUCCGCUUCGGUCUCGUGGCUUCUGGAGUCUUCUAGAUGUAAGAUAAUUGCGCAGCACGUUAAUAUCUUUACGUAAUCCUGACAUGUAGGCCUUUCUUCCAUAUUUCCUGAUAACCCCCUGCAGAAAUAGACAAACACCAAAAACUCGUGGAAUUCUGUCAGAUAAAACCCUAAGUCUAGAUCUUUAUUUCAUUUGGAUCCUUUUCUUUGUUUAUUUGUUAAUUAAAUUUGAUACUUAAGGACCGUCAACAAGGGUUCGUCUCGCUACUGCGGACUGCAGUUGCAGGCGCAAGAGCAGCCAACUGGGGAAUCGAGAUUUCUUCUUUUUUCGGCGAAGCCCAUACGGCUGGGCCUGGUACUGGGGAACGAAGGCAACCUUCAGAAUUGGGCCUAGAUUGGCUCACCAGGCACACAAAUGGGGCGUCUGAACACUCGUAAUUUUUUUACAAGACAACUCAAAUCAUUUUUCGAUUGUGAUCAUACUACUCAAACCAAGAUAUGUGGUCUCAUGUAAACUAAGGGGAAAAUUUCCCAAAUCUAAAUCUAACUGAAAGUGGACAAGUAAAAUCCAUUUUCAUCUUCUACGAGCAAUGCAUGAUGAUGUGAACUUCCAAAACUUCAGUCUACAGAAAAAUAAGGCUGAACAUGCAUGAACUACGAUCGACCAGUGGAUUCCCGUGAAAAAAGAAGAAAUGGACGUAUGGACGGGGAUUGGGUUCGCACAUAGAGCACCAGUUAGACGUAGUGCGCAAAUCGCAGUGCUAGAGAAAUGUUCGGGUUCAAUUGAGACUGAGUAAUCAAUCAAUCAGGGCACAAGGACUGAACCAUUGCAACAAAACUCAUAAAUGAAUCGCACAUGUACUGCAUGACAUACAUCUACCAAAUCAAGAUCAGAUCCAAGUCCAAGUUCAUGUUCAGUUGCUAGACAUCGACUGCAACUAUUAUUACAUCAGUUUCAAUUGCAAUAUGCUUUUCAAGAAGACAGGUGGACUGUGGGCUGUGGCUUCACAAUUUAUUUGAUGGAAGGAACGUCCAGUCCUUUUCUUUCUUCCUUCUCUUUAUGUUUGGCUUUUCAGUUGCUUCCUCAAUGCAUCCUUUGAUGAUAGCCGGUAAUUCUGGUUUGAUUGUUAUACAUGUUAAAAUGUAUGCCAGAAGUUGGCUUUGGUAUAUUAUCAUCAUCUCCUUCCCAGGAGAACCUUGCAAACAGAUCAACGUAUUCCCAAGUCAAUAGCCAGUUGUAUAGUGGCUACAUUUUCCAAAUAGAUCAACAUAUUCCUAAAAUCAACAUAGUUUGUGGAUGAAGGUACACCCAAGUCAACAUUUGGUUUACAGUUUAGGGCAGAAGGUACACUAACCCUAUAGUCUCUCAGCAGUUUCAUUUUAUUUUUAUCACCAAGUUUGUGGAUGAAGUUUAUGACAGCAACACUGUCAAGCAACUUGGGUGAAUCGUAGGUCAGUCGUGCCACGCUUGUGCUAUCAGUAAACCUGACUUUUGCUUUGCCAAAAGCAGCACCGACCAACUUACAAAUGUUCCUGGCCAAAUUAUAUAUGUCACCUGCAGCAUCCGAAGAAGAGUCGAAAAAGGCUAAGAUACUGCAUGUGCCUCCAGGUACAACUUCCAGGCAAAACCCAACCCCUUUUUUGCAGAGGACAGUCCCAAAUACCUGCAAACACAAACAUUAUCACUGCCCCUAAAGCCUAAAACAAACAUGUAAUAAAAUGCUGCAGAACUUACAUAAGUCACGUUUCGGCAAUUGUCGGGGAGCGCAGAUACAAUUACAUCAUUAGUGUAGAACUGGUGGGAAAAGGAUAUUGGACUCAUCAGUGGUGAGAGAAGGUACUAUAUUUUCUCAAGGGAUACAAUAUUUUCUAUAGAAUACUUACUUGAUUCACUGCUGGGAGAAGGAUAUUGCAUUGGCCAACCUCCUCCUUGAAGAAUUUUACAAAUCGGCUGAGAAGGUUGAAGGCAUCUUCACCUCUGACCUCUAAGGACAUCUUAAGUUGGGCUCUCGUUAGUGCUAUAUCAUCACAUCUGACUAUUAGCUCCUCAAUUCUUCAAAUUGAAACAUGACUUCAGUCAAAAAAAUCUGCAACUAUCCAGAAAACAUCAGGUAAGUCAAUAUAAGUUCUACAACUCCAGAAAACUUACUUUUUCACAUAUUUAUAAAUCAACAGAGCCACUUCUUCAAGUGCAUAGUUCUAUAUUAUAUGAACCUCACUUGGGGCAUGCGCUUGCCACCUCUUAUGACCUGUACUUAAGAUCUCGGAUGGGGAUAGGUUAGGAAGCCUCUUCCGCUUCUUUUGUCCCGCUGCUGUUGUCACUUCGUCAUGAUUGUCCUCAGACUCCCCUUUAAACUCCUCUUGGCGAGGGUGCUUAUUAAUCUUUGCUGGUGUAACCUCCUUAUGCUUGUCCUCAGACUCACUAUGGGAGGGCUCCUCACAGCUGCCUCGGCCAGUCCUGUCCACCUCACGCUACCUGCCAGUCUCCUCAUUGCCACUGCUGCCAUCAUCCUCCUCAUUUCCACUGCUGCCACCAUCCUCACCGUCAUUAACGCCCUCCUCAUCCUCCAUUCCUUCAUUGGUGUCAAUGCCUUUCUGGGUCUCGGCCUCAUGCUCCUGACCGGCCUUGGCCUCAUUCUCAUCAUCCUCCUCAGCCUUGCCGUCUUCCUUGGGCUCCUUAGCAUGUUCCUCAAUGAUGGCAUCAGAUUUACGGCCUUGACUGUUGUCAUCCUCCUCAGCCUUGCCGCCUUUCUUGGGCUCCUUAGCAUUUUCCUCAAUGAUGGCAUCCCCCUCCCCAGUCCCAAGUUGACUCUUUCUGCCAUCAACUCCUGCUCCCCCUUUUACUGAAAUAGAGUGACAGCAAUGUAAAAAGGUACAUUAUUAAAGCAUAGCAACAUAAUAAACAGGAACAUACUUUGUUUACUAUUCGUUAGUAAUAAGUAGUUAGAAACUAGGAUCAUGAAUUAUUGGCUAAAUAAGAGAAAUGAAAUGGCAUCAUUCUAAGCUAAGUAAGACCUGAAAAAAUAGUGCCACCAUGGUAAAAAGACACGCUGUUAGAAAACAUCAUUGGGGUCUGUACCUCUUUUCACCCUCAUUGCAUUCCAUCAUAUCCUUGUUGCUAGUCUCCAAUAGCUCAGUUUUAUCCUUGUUGCUAAUCUACUGUAAAGGGUCCUUCGCCUGGGUCUCCACAAUGUCAUCCUGGCUACUGGCAGCAGAAAUAUAAACUACUUAGGAUCAUGAAUUCUGGUCUAAAAAGACACACUGUUAGAAAACACCAUUCGGGUGUAAAGGCAAUAAAGUUUGUACCUCUUUUCAACUUCAUUGUGUUCGUCAUAUCCUUGUUGCUGAUCUCCUACAGCUUAGGAGGUUCACCCGCACUCUAGAAUCCCAUCCUCUUUCACGGCAUCGACUCCUGCUCCCUCCUUUUUACUGAAAUAGAGUGACAGUAGUGUAAAAAGGUACAUUAUUAAAGCACAACAACAUAAUAAACAGGAACAUACUUUGUUUACUGUUCAUUAGUAAUAACUGGUUAGAAACUAGGAUCAUGAAUUCUUGGCUAAAUAAGAUAAUUGAAAUGGCAUCGUUCUAAGCUAAGUAAGACCUAAAAAAAUAGUGCCACCAUGGUAAAAAGACACACUGUUAGAAAACACCAUUUGGGUCUGUACCUCUUUUCACCCUCAUUGCAUUCCAUCAUAUCCUUGUUGCUGGUCUCCAACAGCUCAGUUUUAUCCUCAUUUCUAGUCUCCUCAAAAGGGUCAUUCGUCUGGGUCUCCACAACAUCAUCCUGGCUACUGGCAGCAGAAAGAUAAACUACUUAGUUUACUGUUCGUUAGUAAUAACUGGUUAGAAACUAGGAUCAUGAAUUCUUGACUAAAUAAGAGAAAUGAAAUGGCAUCGUUCUAAGCUAAGUAAGACCUAAAAAAAUAGUGCCACCAUGGUUAAAAGACACACUGUUAGAAAACCCCAUUGGGGUCUGUACCUCUUUUCACCCUCAUUGCAUCCCAUCAUAUCCUUGUUGCUGGUCUCUAACAGCUCAGUUUUAUCCUCAUUGCUAGUCUCCUGAAAAGGGUCCUUUGCCUAGGUCUCCACAACGUCAUCCUGGCUACUGGCAGUAGAAAGAUAAACUACUUAGGAUCAUGAAUUCUUGGCUAAAAAGACACACUGUUAGAAAACACCAUUGGGGUGUAAAGGCAAUAUUGUCUGUACCUCUUUUCAACUUCAUUGUGAUCCAUCAUAUCCUUGUUGCUGGCAUCCAACAGCUUAGGAGGUUCACCGCACUCUGGAAUCUCAUCCUCUUUAACGGCAUCAGCUCCUGCUCCCUCCUUUUUAGUGAAAUAGAGUGACAGUAGUGUAAAAAGGUACAUUAUUAAAGCACAGCAACAUAAUAAACAGAAACAUACUUUGUUUGCUGAUCGUUAGUAAUAACUGGUUAGAAACUAGGAGCAUUAAUUCUUGGCUAAAUAAGAGAAAUGAAAUGGCAUCGUUCUAAGCUAAGUAAGACCUAAAAAAUAGUGCCACCAUGGUAAAAAGACACACUGUUAGAAAACACCAUUGGGGACUGUACCUCUUUUCACCCUCAUUGUAUUUCAUCAUAUCAUUGUUGUUGGUCUCCAACAGCUCAGUUUUAUCCUCGUUGCCAAGGGUCCUUCGCCUGGGUCUCCACAACGUCAUCCUGGCUACUGGCAGCAGAAAGAUAAACUACUUAGGAUCAUGAAUUCUUGGCUGAAAAGACACACUGUUAGAAAACACCAUUGGGGUAUAAAGGCAAUACUGUCUAUACCUCUUUUCAACUUCAUUGUGUUCCAUCAUAUCCUUGUUGCUGGUCUCCAACAGCUUAGGAGGUUCACCGCACUCUGGAAUCUCAUCCUCUUUCACGGCAUCCUCGUUGCAGUAGCAUGUGUUUUCCCAGUCUGUUAACUGAAAAAGGAAAUAUAUAUCUUAUGCUAUGUUAUGUUAUGUUAUGCUAUGCUAUGCUAUGCUAUACUAUCCUAUGUUAUGUUAUGACAAUGGGAGACAAAUUUGCGGAACUUACUUCAAUGGUUUUUAAAAACUCUUCGUCUUUAGAAUUCUCUGUCAGAGUGUCGAUCAGAUCACAACUGCAUUUGUAGAUUCUUGGGAUGAGCAGCUUGCUACGUGUCGAGUCACCUGCCAACCCAGCAGGAUACUUGACACUGUCUAACCAAACAAUCUGUGGAAGAUGAACAAAAUUCAGAAUAUAGUAGGAAAUGAACACAUUUCAGAAUAGAGGACAUCAUGGCAAAUAGAUAAGUUGUCUAUAAACAGCAUUAUAAAUAGGAACAUACAUUGUCUGUAAACAAUGGUUACUUCAAAUAGGAACAUACGAGUAAAAGCAGUACAUGAGUAAAAGCAAUACAUUAGGGUGUACCAUUGGGAGUAGUAAGCAGCCAUUCGCAUAAUCUGAUUCUUCACGUUGCCAGGCCAAAAUACCCUACUGCAAACGGUUGAAGAUUAAACCAGACCAGACAAUGGUCUUUAGAUGCUCAAGGUCAUGAGCUGCUUUUAUCACCUCUACAGAUGCAUGGCUGCUGGUGCUUGGUAUCAGCAGCUUGCUGAACAACACUAUUAAAAAAGGCUUGGCUACCAUGGUGGCAUCAACUUUUCCACCAAACUGUGGAUCAUCCGCAUGCCUAAGCACAGCUCGAAUAACAGAUGGUACGAACAAUUUUCUUUUAUCACUCAUUUUACUGACAGCAUGAACUGUUUUAAGAGGUCGUACUUUCACCUCCUCCUCCCCCUCAAGCUCCUCCUCUAGCUCCUCGUCGUCCCCGUCCUCUGGCACCUCCUAAGGCACCUCCUCUUGCUCCUCCUCAUCCAAGUCAACCUCCUCCUCCGCUAAAUACCAGUCAACCUCCUCCUCCUUUAAAUCCCAGUUAUUGUCAACAUCAAUCUUCAAAAGAUUAAACAUUUCCAUGAAUGCAUCAUUAUGUAGUUUGGUGAGCGUGAGCUUGCUGCCACCCCGCGUGGGCUUGCUGACACCCCACGUGGCCUUGCUGCUCCCUUCUUCAUGUGUGGGCUUGCUACCACGCCCGCCACGCCCACACCCACGCCCAUGCCCGCCACGCCCGCUGCGCGUGGACUUGGUGACACCCUUGGGCUUGAGAUCCAAAAUGGUGCCAUUUGGGUUACCAACACAUAAAAUAUGUCGUACACCAGAUUUUGUGAGUUCCAAUGUCUUAUUGUCCAUGGUCCAUUUAAUCACUUUUUUGUCCUCGGCUUGCGCAGUUUUCACUACAUAAUCUAUAAACUUCUGCUCGUAAGUUUGUCAGGCAAAUGGCACAACAUAUGGCUGAAAAAGUGAUCUUUUAACAAUGACUUUGCAGCAUUUGGCAGCAGCAUAGCUGUUUUGGAAACAUAAACUGAACAACAGCGUGUUUUCACUUCAUGAGGGCCUGUCAUUAGUGCAAAACAAAUAAAUUAGUGACACUAGUGUAAGAAGGUACACUGUCAAAACACAGUAAAUCUGCAACAUAGUAUCAAAGAAUAGAGAACAUCAAUACCAAACAAAGAAGAAAGUGCGUGUUAAUUCUAUAUCAUAUGGAAAAUAUACAUGAGAUUUUGAAAUGCAGAUCAAUACAAGCUUAUAUAUAUAUUUUUGGGUUUUUUGGCUCUUUUGGUGCCUUCUUUGGUGCCCGAAUCAUUGUCAUUAGUGCAAAACAAAUAAUUUAGUGACACUAGUGUAAGAAUGUACAUUGUGAAAACAUAGUAAAUCUGCAACAUAGUAUGAAACAAUAGAGGACAUCAAUACCAGACAAAGAAAGUGCGUGUUAAUCUAUAACUCUUAUAAAGCUAAACCCCACUAGAUGAAUUCUCUCUUCAUGCAAGGUGUCCACAUCAUUCCCCACUAAGUGACCCACUAAAUAUUCUAUCUCUUCAUGCAAAGUGUCCACAUCAUUCCCCACUAAGUCCAUAUCAUCCCAUAUUAAUAGAUUAAAGUAUUUCAUAUGAAAUACUUUAAAAUUUUAACCUAUUAAUAUACAACUCAUGUACAUACACUCUUUGUUUCAUAACCAAUUAAUUCAUCUAUAAUGUAACCAAAUAUUAGUUUUUGUUCUAUUAGCUUAGCAAUUUAUUACUAGAUCUAAUACAAUAAAAUACAUGCAAGUCAAAUUCAUAUGUAUACAUACAUAAUAGAUUGAAUACCAUAUAGUAGUGCUAUGUAUAUAAUGAUUUAUUUUAAGAAAAUCCCGCAGCAACGCGCGGAGAAUUCACCUAGUUCUAUAUUAUAUAUAUACCUUUUUUGGUGCCUUCUUUGAUGCUUGAAUCAUUUUGCAUGUUAGGGGGUCUCCCUUUUUGGGCUGCGCCUGUCACCAGUGCAAAACAAAUGUUAAAACACAGUAAAUCUGCAACAUAGUAUGAAAGAGUAGAGGACAUAUACCAGACAAAGAAGAAAGUGUGUGUUAAUUCUAUAUUACAUGGAAAAUAUACAUGAGAUUUUGAAAUAUAUAUACCUUCUUUGGUGCCUGAAUCAUUUUGCGUGUUAGGGGGUCUCCCUUUUUGGGCUGCACCUGUCACCAGUGCAAAACAAAUAAAAUAGCAACACCAAAAUGUAGCUUUUUGAAGAUAUGUUUCACUAGACAAACGAAUGUUCCUUUUAGUUACAUGUUGAUUUUCAAUAUAUGUUGCUUUUAGUUAAAUGUUGCGUUAUACACAAAUAUGUUGCUUUUAAAUGAUCAACUAAGAUUUAAAGUAUAACUUCUUCGGUCUCUUUUGCCAUGAACCCUUAUUCGGUCUCUUGUGCCAUGAUCCCAGAGAGCACCUGCAGCUUUUGCUCUGAGGAUCUUCAAGACCACGACCUGCAAACCAGAUGGUCAAGUUCCAAUCUGCUGGCUUAGGGAACUAGGGUUAAUGGCGUUUAGGGUUUAGGGUUUAGGGUUUAGGGGAAGGGUUAGCCCAGCGCGGCAGCAGCCGAACCAGCGAUGUCCGGCGAGCAGAAGGAGAAGGGGAAGACCAGCGCGGCAGCAACAGAACAAACGAUGUCCGACGUCGAGCAGCAGCAGGUCCGGCGAGAUAGAAAUCAUACCUUCGGUUACUCAAACUUGGGAAGCGCGGCGAGGCUCGAAGUCAGGAAGCGCGGCGAGGGGAAGGGGAAGGCCGCGGUUAGGAAGCGCGACGGCGCUGAAGGGGAAGGCCCCGGUGUAGAUUUUUACACGCGGUGUUGAGGAUGCCCCUGUGUUGAGUUUAUACGCGGUGUUGAGGAAGGGGAAGAAUCCAGAACACGACCCUUUUUGCAUCGGGACGCUGAAGUGUAUUAAUUGUAGACCAUUGACUGUUGACAAAGCUCAGGAACGCGGAACGCCAUGCUGUAGAUUUCUCACUAUACCACUGACUGUUAACUCUAAUAACGAUGUGUUGAUUUGUUCAGAAAAUGCUACAUUAGUGCUAUGUUGAUCUAUGUAAAAAAUGCAGCUUUUUGGUUGGUUUAACUGUGCAACCAAAUGUUGACUUAAAUAUUGAUGUGUUGCGUUUAGAAAUAUGUUGAUCUGUAUACACAAAUAUGUUGCUUUUAGAGAUUUUUUACAAAUAGCUUUUAGAGAUUUUUUAUAGAGAUUGGAAGAGCAUCUAGGCCCCUAGUGAUUUCGGUGAUUAAUGACAUCAUGCUUACUAUGACUAACGUGUGUUUUGCAGAGGCAAAGUCAUAGGUAAGGUCAUGGUUUAUAGGUACUCGAUGGACAAGGACGUACAUGCCUACUUAAUAGUGGAAAUCGUUUCGGUUUUUAAAGGAUGGAUGGACAUCGUCAAGACUAGACUAGGUCUAAGUGCCAUAUGGUGUAGAAGGGCACUUAGAGUAGUUUAGAACUUUGUUUUCCUUUGACCGUACUAUUAAGAGGGGCUUUGAUCUAGUAGCUUGACUUAGGCAAGGCUUUAGGUUUAGGUGUGGUGCACACUUGGUAAACCUAGCACUAGGCAGCUCAGAGAUAGUCCUUAGAUCGAGAGGAACCAACUUCGUUUUGGAGCGAUCGCGUUUCGACGGAGUUUGGGUGCCCAAAGGGGCACCGGACGCUGCACCGGACACUCUGUGAGUGCGUCCGGUGAGGUCCCUAGCCGUUAGAAUAGUGUGGUGCUUAGGGUUAGGCACCGGACGCUAGCACCGGACGCACCGGGUAGCGUCCGGUCCCUUACCCAGGGAGGUUGCAAGCCUUCCCUGAGCACCGGACGCUAGCACCGGACGCGCCGGGUAGCGUCCGGUCCCAUGCGCAGGGAGCAUGUAAAGUUUUCCCGAGCACCGGACGGUGCACCGGACGCUGGGAGUUAGCGUCCGGUGACCUGUCAAAAAAAAGUGCAGGUAGCCGUUAUCAAGCACCGGACGCUCGGUGCAGUGCGUCCGGUCCAACAUAAUGUGCGUCCGGUGACCCCGUUUUCAGUGGAAAACGGUUAGCCGACCUUUGGACUUCGUGGAUAGUAUUUAUACUCCUCCACCUCGUCCAUGAGAGUUCUCUUGCCCAUUUGAACUUCAGAGAACCUUGUUAUGGAGCAAGAGAGUUGCAAGAGCCUAGAGAGGAUUGAGAUUUGUGUGAUUUCUUGAGAGAAUCCUUCUCUAGUGAGUUCCAAGAGUCAAGUGUGCAUCCACCACUCUCUAGAGCCUUGUUUGGGUCAAGUGAGAGUUCGUUGCUUGUUACUCUUGGUGAUCGCCAUCACCUAGACGGUUUGGUGGUGAUUGAAGGGACAAAGACCGCCCGGAGUUCUUGUGGGUGGCUCGUGUCAAGCUUGUGAGCGGUUUUGGGCGAUUCACCGCGACGGAGUGUCGAAGAAUCAGCCCGUAGAGAGCACUUGGUCCUUGCGCGGACCAAGGGGGAGCAAGACCCUUGCGCGGGUGCUCCAACGAGGACUAGUGGAGAGUGGCGACUCUUCGAUACCUCGGCAAAACAUCACCGAGCAUUUUCUUCCACUACUCCUUUACUUUAGCAUUUACUUUGUGUUUUUACAUUCUUAGAAUUGCCUUUCUAGAAUAGGAUUGGAACUAGGUUGCAAAACUUUUAUCCGGUAGCUCUCUAAGUCACACUAGGCACAAGGGGUUGAAUUGGAGCUUAUAGGUUGCUUAAAUUUUUAGAGAAGCCAAAUUCACCCCCCCUCUUGGGCAUCUUGAUCCUUUCAAUUGGUAUCGGAGCCUAGUGCUCAUUAUUUAGGCUUCACCGCCUAGAGAAAGAUGUCUAACGGGGAUGGACCGCCACCCAUGUUUGAUGGGAAUGACUUCCCGUAUUUGAAAAUACGGAUGGAGUCAUACCUUGAGGCAUGCGAUGUAAAGUGCCUAAAAGCCACGACCGAAGGGUUUGCCCCUCCGGAAAGAGCCACCGCUCUUACUCCACAAGAGCAAGAAAACGAGAAGUGGAAUGCGAAGGCCAAAAACCACAUCUUUAGAGGUCUUUGCAAAGAGGUGUUCAACCGCGUUCGGAGCCACAAAACCGCCAAUGAACUUUGGAAGGAACUUUGUGCGCUCCAUGAGGGAACAAAGAGUGAACGCGAGGAACACUAUCACCUAGUGAUGAACAAGCUUAAUACAUUUGAGAUGCUUCCUAAAGAAAAUGCUAAUGAAAUAUAUUCUCGCUUGAAUGUCAUUGUAGAGGAGCUAAAUGGACUUGGGCUUACACAAAUGAGUACGGCGGAUGUAGCAAGAAAGAUACUAUGUGUACUUCCCAUUGAGAAAUAUGGGCACAUAGUAACCGUGCUUCAUCAAGGCGAUCUUUCCACCGCUACACCAACCACCAUAUUGGGGAAGAUCAAUGCUCAUGAGAUGUACAUGCACAUGAACCCUCAAGAUGGAUCCUCGUCGGCCAAGAAAGAAAAGAAGGACUUGGCUCUCAAAGCUUCUCACAAGGGCAAAGCCAAGAAGAUUGAAGUUGAGUCAUCAACUUCAAGUGAUGAUGAUGCAUCUAUUGCCCUCUUGGUGAGAAGAACCACAAAGAUGUUGAAGAAGCUCAACAAGAAUGGAGUCAACUUUGACUCCAAGAAGAAGUUCUUCACAAGUAGCAAGAGGAAGCCUAUCUCCGAGAUGGAUUGCUACAAUUGUGGUGAACUUGGUCAUCUUGCUCAUCAAUGUCCAAAGCCCAAGAAGGACAAAUACAAGAAGAAAAACAAAGAGCAAGAUGACUCAAGUGAUGAUGAGAAGAAUGACAAGAAGCAAUACAAGAAGAAAGGUGGCAAGAAGAAGGAGCACUACAAGAAGAAAAAUGGCAAGGCUUACAUUGUUGGUGAUUGGCUCACCGACAUUGAGAGCUCAAGUGGUGACUCCUCCGGCAAUGAAAGUGAUGAUGAGAAGGUUGCCACCAUUGCCAUCGAUGCUCCAUCACCAUCAUCUUCACCACCAUCCACAUCUUCAACACACCUAUGCCUUAUGGCCAAAGGUGACCAGAAGGUACAAAGUGAGGAUGAGAGUAGUGAAAGUGAUAGUGAAUAUGAAUCACCUUCUUAUGACGAACUUGUAAAAUUGCUAAACAAGUACACAAAAGUCAUAAGAAAGACUAGAAGUGAGAACGAAAAGCUUGAACUUGAAAAUGAAACACUUCUAGCAAAGCUUAAGUCUAGUGAUGAGCUUAGAGACCAAAAUGAGAUCAUGACCACUAAGCUCAAGGAGCUCAAACUCUCUCUAAAAGAGCUCAAAGAAAAACAUGAUAACCUUGAGAGUGUUCAUGAUGAGCUUAUCACUAGAUAUAGAACAAUGAAAGAAGAGCUAACAACUCUAAAAGCAAACUAUGACAACCUUGAAAUUGCUUAUGAACUUGCAAUUGAAACACAUGUUGCUACUAACAAUGUUGCUAAGCUUGAUGUAGCCACAUCUUGUGAUGAUUUACUUGUGGAGAGCACAAGCAAAUGUGUUAAUUGCAAGGGCAAGAAAGUGGUAGUGGCCGAGAGUUAUGAGGACACUAUCAAGCUCAAGGAUGAAAUUGUCAUGCUCAAGAAAGAGUUGCAAGACCAAGCCAAGCACAAAACUAUAGUGAUUGAGUCACUUGAUCAAGACAAGAAACUUGCAUAUGAGAACAAAUUACUCAAAGAAGAAAAUCAAUAUCUCAAGCUUGGUUUGAUGUAUGACAAGCAAGAAGAAGAUGAAACAUUCAUCUUGGAUGAGUUAGCUAGCAACAAUGACCCAAUCAUCAAGAAGCUAACUCAAGAGAACAACAAGCUCAAGAAAGAGAAGGAACACUUAACCAUGGUGUUAGCCAAGUUCACAAAGGGGAAAGACCUUCAAAGUGAGCUUUUUAUGAACACCGUCAUGAAGAUGGACAAGAGUGGGAUUGGCUACAAGGCUCAUCAAACAAAGCUCAUCAAGUCACUAGCCACUCAUGAUCAACAAAGCAAGCCAAAGCCUAAGAGAUGCUUUGAGUGUGGUCUAGAAGGACACUUUGCUCAUGAGUGUAAGGCACCACUACCACUACCCUUGCCCAAGCAUGCAAGACCAUUUGCUUUCAAUGCUCACUACAUUGUAAGGAAAGACAAGAGUGGCAAGGUCAAGGUUAGCUUCAUGGGGCCACCCAACAAGCAAAGGCCAAAGAAGAUUUGGGUGCCAAAGCAACUAAUAGAGAAGGUCAAGGGCCCUAAGCAAAUGUGGGUCCCUAAAUCUCAAGCUUGAUCUCUUGUGUGUAGGUGAACUACAAGACUGGUGGAUCACAUUGGGUAAUUGAUAGUGGUUGCACUCAACAUAUGACCGGAGAUCCCCGGAUGUUCACCUCUCUUGAUGAAGAUGUUGACAACCAAGAGAAGAUCACAUUUGGUGACAAUUCAAAAGGCAAGGUCAAGGGAUUAGGAAAGGUUGCUAUUUCAAAUGACAACUCCAUCACCAAUGUGCUCUAUGUGCAAUCUUUGAGUUUCAACUUGCUCUCAGUUGGACAACUUUGUGACCUUGGAUUUGAAUGCCUAUUCAAGAAAAAGGAAGUAAUUGUGACCAAGGAAGGUGACAAUGAAGUAAUAUUCAAAGGCUUCCGACACAACAACUUAUAUGUAGUUGAUUUCUCAUCAAAUGAAGUUGAUGUCAAGACUUGCCUAUUCACCAAGACUUCACUUGGGUGGUUGUGGCAUAGAAGGUUAGCACAUGUUGGAAUGGGCACACUCAAGAAGUUGAUGAAGAAAGAAUUGAUUAGAGGUUUGAAGGAUGUGACUUUUGAAAAAGACAAGCUUUGUAGUGCAUGUCAAGCAGGCAAACAACUUGCAAAUACACAUCCAACCAAAGCCUAUCUCUCUACUUCAAGAGUGCUUGAGCUACUACACAUGGAUUUGUUUGGACCAACCACAUAUGCUAGUCUUGGAGGCAACAAAUAUUGCUUGGUCAUAGUUGAUGAUUUCUCCCGGUACACUUGGACAUUCUUCUUGCAAGACAAAGCCGAAGUUGCAUCAAUAUUCAAGAAGUUUGCAAAGAAUGCCCAAAAUCAAUUUGAUGUGAAGAUCAAGAAAAUUAGAAGUGAUAAUGGCAAAGAAUUUGACAACACCAACAUUGAAGAGUAUUGUGAUGAAGUGGGAAUCAAACAUGAGUUCUCCUCAACAUACACACCACAACAAAAUGGGGUUGUAGAAAGAAAGAACAGGACAUUGAUUACCUUGGCAAGAACAAUGCUAGAUGAGUACAACACUUCGGAGAAGAUGUGGGCCGAGGCAAUCAACACCGCAUGCUAUGCUUCAAACCGGCUCUUUCCUCACAAGUUCCUAGAGAAGACACCAUAUGAGUUGCUCAAUGGGAAGAAGCCCGAUGUCUCAUUCUUUAGAGUGUUUGGAUGCAAAUGCUACAUCUACAAGAAGCGCCAACACUUGGGAAAAUUCCAAAGAAGAUGUGACAUUGGCUAUUUGGUUGGCUAUUCAUCAAAGUCCAAGGCAUAUAGGGUCUUUAACCAUGCCACAAACAUGGUUGAAGAAACAUUUGAUGUUGAAUUUGAUGAAACUAAUGGCUCCCAAGGAGCAAGUAAUAACCUUGAUGAUGUAGGUGGAGAACCAUUGAUGGAUGCCAUGAAGAACAUGCCGGUGGGAGACAUCAAGCCUAAAGAAGAUGAUGAUGAUGUGCAAGUCAUUGAACCACCAUCCACCUCACAAGGUCCACAAGAUGAAGACAAGGAUGUGAGAGAUGCCCAUGAAGACACUCAAGUCACUCAUGAGCAAGCGGUGGCACAAGCACAAGAUGUUGAUGCUCCCCAACCAACCCCUCUAGUGGCACCAAGAAGAACAUCACAUCUCCUCCAAGAUCACUCUCAAGAUCUCAUCAUCGGGAGUCCAUCAUGUGGUGUAACUACUCGUUCUAGACAUGCUUUAUUUAUUGAACAUCACGCUUUUGUGUCUCUUGAAGAUGAACCAAAGACUAUAGAGGAAGCUCUUCGUGAUGUGGAUUGGAUCAUGGCCAUGCAAGAGGAGUUGAACAACUUCUCUCGCAACCAAGUAUGGACACUUGAAGAGCGACCCAAAGAUGCAAGAGUGAUUGGAACAAAGUGGGUCUUCCGGAAUAAGAAGGAUGAUCAAGGCAAAGUGGUGCGCAACAAAGCAAGACUUGUGGCUAAAGGCUUUUCACAAGUGGAAGGUCUUGACUUCGGUGAAACCUUUGCACCGGUGGCAAGACUUGAAGCAAUCCGUAUCCUACUUGCAUAUGCAUCUAGUCAUAAUAUCAAGUUAUUUCAAAUGGAUGUGAAAAGUGCCUUUUUAAAUGGUUAUAUUAAUGAGCUUGUCUAUGUUGAGCAACCCCCCGGUUUUGAAGACCCUAGGUGCCCCAAGCAUGUAUACCGUUUGUCCAAGGCUCUCUAUGAUCUCAAGCAAGCUCCUAGAGCUUGGUAUGAGAGGCUUAGGGACUUCAUCAUUGAGAAGGGCUUCAAGAUUGGGAAAGUUGACACAACACUCUUCACCAAGAAAAUGAAUGGGGAAAUCUUCAUUUGCCAAGUUUAUGUUGAUGAUAUUAUCUUUGGUUCUACUAAUGAAGAUUUUUGCAAGGAAUUUGGUGAUUUGAUGUCCAAGGAGUUUGAGAUGUCCAUGAUUGGCGAGCUAUCCUUCUUCCUAGGAUUUCAAGUCAAGCAAAUGAAGGAAGGAGUCUUUAUCUCUCAAGAGAAGUACACUCAAGAUCUUCUCAAGAGGUUCAAGAUGAUGGAUUGCAAGCCAAUCAAGACUCCCAUGGCAUCAAAUGGGCAUCUCGACUUGGAUGAGGGAGGUAACCCAAUUGACAAGACUCUCUAUCGCUCCAUGAUAGGAAGUCUACUCUACCUCACCGCAUCUAGGCCCGAUAUAAUGUUUAGUGUGUGUAUGUGUGCAAGAUAUCAAGCAAUGCCUAUGGAAUCUCACUUGAUUGCGGUCAAGAGAAUUCUUAGGUAUCUAAAAUACACACCUUGCCUAGGCUUGUGGUAUCCCAAAGGUGCAAGAUUCCAACUUGUAGGCUAUUCCGAUUCGGAUUAUGCCGGGUGCCGGAUUGAUAGAAAAAGCACAUCCGGAGGGUGCCACUUCCUAGGUAGAUCACUUGUCUCUUGGAUGUCAAAGAAACAAAAUAGUGUUGCCUUGUCAAUGGCCGAGGCGGAAUACAUAGCCGCCGGUGCUUGUUGUGCACAAAUAUUCUACAUGAAACAAACUUUGCUAGACUAUGAAGUAGUACUAGACAAAGUACCUUUGUUGUGUGACAACGAAAGUGCCGUAAAACUUGCAAACAACCCGGUUCAACACACCCGCACAAAACAUAUUGACAUCCGCCACCACUUCCUUAGGGAUCAUGUUGCUAAAGGUGAUAUAUCCUUAGAGAAUGUGGGAACGGAAAAUCAAUUGGCGGAUAUCUUCACAAAACCCCUAGAUGAAGCUAGGUUUUGUAUGUUGAGAAAUGAACUUAAUGUGCUUGACCUAUCCAACUUCACUAAAAGAUAAAAGUUGUGUGUUGAAUCUUGUAAAUAACUUUUGCUUUGCAUAUAAUGCAUACUAAAACUAAAAAUACAACUUGCAUGUAGGGCUUGUCUAACAUGGUUAAGAUAACCCCCUGAGUGUGUGAAAAACCUUAACCUUGGAUCAAACUUGACAAGCAUUAGUUUACUUUCAAGUGUUGCAUUACAACUCAUAUCAUAUGCAUGCUUGUUAAUUGACUGUUUCUUUUCGGUUAAUCGUUGAGCAUCCGCUGUGUUUGUCCAUAGAUAGGGGGAGCAUUCAAAGCUCAUUAUGAUUCAAACCCCUAGCUUUAUGGCCAUACGAUGCUCCUUGGUGAUUUUCUCGAACUAUCUUCAUAAAAAACUACUAAGCCUAUGGCUAAAUAUUUGUGAAAAUUUGAGGGUUUGAGAGAAGUCACUCAUACCAGUUCCAUUUGCUGUUUAUUUGUGUGCUUUUGGAAAUGGAACUUGGUUGGGUCAAAGUUGGGCGUAGUGCUUCGUUGAAAAAGUGCUCAGAGGAGCACCGGAUGAUGCACCAGACGCUGCCUCUGUGUGUCCGGUGCGGUGAGUGUGCCAGACUGCACUCACCGGACGCAGGAACAGUAUCCCUGCAGCGUCCGGUGCUCACCAGGCGUAACCCGAAGCACCGGACGCUAAAGCCAGCGUCCGGUGCCCAUCGUCCGGUGCAAUGCCAAAAUGCAAACCUCUCUGCGCAUGAGUCCGGUGGUCACCGGACGCGUCCGGUGCCACAUAAAGAGCGUCCGGUGACCCCGCGGCGGGCGCAUAAAGCCCACGCCCAGAGGGUUUCGCGGGCGGUUUUCUUCCUUCUCUCCCGAUUCUCGCCGAGCCGCCCGUGCCCUAGCCCGCAGGAACCGCCACCGACCGCCGAGAUUCCUCCUCCGACAAUCCCGUGCCAUCUUCCCUGCGCCAGAUCUGCCCAGGGAUCUCUCCCCCAUCCUUCUCCUCACACGCAGAUCCAUCUCGAGGGGGUUUGAGGGAUUGGGUGAGUUUUCUCGAUUGCUUGCCCUUAAGGUGUUUGAGUUUUUCGUUUCAUUGGAUUAGAAAAGGGUUCUUAACCUCGAUCUUCCUCGUUAACCCUGUGCAGCACCAUAAGGAAAGGGCUCGUGGUUUCCGGUGGUUGUCAAUCGAAAGUUUUCAUCCAGAACACGACUCGUCUGUGGAUCGUAAGCCGUUCGCGUGCGUAUCUUAUCUAUUCUUAUGAUCUAUAGGAUUGUCUCAUCUCUAGUCGAUAUGUUUUCUUAUAUAUAUCCUAUCUUGUCGAUUCCCUACAGCGCGUUAAUCUCCAUUGUCAGUCGGUUGUUAGUCGGACACUUGUUUCUCAAUGGCUCGUACCAAGAACGUCAGUGGUCCGACAGCUGGCUCAGGAGGUUCCCCAGGAGGCGAUGGUGGAGGUGAUCCUCCUCGUCGCCUAUCAGCGGCAGAGAAAGGCAAGGGAAAGAAGCUGGCCACCAAGAAGCGCAAGGCCAGUGACAGAGAUGCAGAGGUCGCAGAGGCAGUGGCAGCAGCAGUAGAAGCCGCAGAGAGAGGUGGUCGAGCAGGUGCUUUGAGGAUUGGGGAUGAUCUUACGCCGUGUCAGAGGCGUGCAGUGCUUGAGGCAGAGGCAUUCCACGGAUCCCCUCCAGACACCGUGACGAUUGGAGGACAGAGGAUUAGGCUUGUGGUCAGGGAUCCAGCUCAGGAGGAUCCAGACACUGAGACAGAGACCCAGGCAGAGGGUCCAGCACAGGAGCAGGAGCAGCCACUCAGGAGGUCGACUCGUGCUCGUACCCAGGCCGUUCCUUGGACUGGCACGCCGGGUCAGUCCACUUCCACAGCUCGUGCCACACCAGCGAGAGGCACACCAGCUUCACGCCCGAGGCCAGUCAUGAUCCACAGGGAUCUCUCUCUUGUGUCAGCCAGAGAGAUCCAGCAGCUGAGGUUUGUUCCCUUUCCCACCUGGUUUCCAGCUGCAAGGGAUCCUAGAGCCGGUGCCAGGUUCUACACAGUCGUCCAGGAGGACAUCUACGAGGCACUGGUUCGCUCUCAGGCUCAGUUCAGGGAGCACAGAGUGAUCGACCUGGAGAUACUGGGGAACGUGGUUGGAGCAGAUAUUCGUCAGUACUUUACCUACCUCCACGGACUUCCAGAGUUACUAGCACUCCCCGGCACUUACUGUGAGCAGUGGGUCAGAGAGUUCUAUGCGUCAGUGUGGGUUUCUCCAGAUCACAGUUACAUCCACUACGCACUGGCAGGCACGGACUACAGAGUGAUAGCUCAGAGGGCUAGAGAGGUGCUUGGACUGCGAGCCUCUCCAACCAGGAUUCACCAGCUGUGCUACAGGAACAUGGAUCCCCCUCGUCGUCCUCACGGAGGUGAGAUCCCACCGAUUGACUUCGUGGCUCCCUGUUUCCGUGCACCUUUUGGGGAGGGCUCCAGCAGGACAGUGGCAGAUUUGACACGACCAGCCAGGAUCCUCGACUUUGUGUUGAGGAAGACUCUUCUCCCCAGGACAGGCUACAGAGAUGGCUUCACUCGUAUGCAGCAGUGGCUCGUCGCUCACCUUAUCUCCCAGACGCAGUUUGAUUUGUGGGAUCUGAUCGUCUCAGAGAUAGAGGACACCAUUUCAGAGAGCUUCAGGGGACGGCGUCAGUUGCCGUAUGCACAUUGGAUCACUCUGCUUAUUCUUCAUGCUAGGCCACUGCCCCUGCCAGCUCACUUGCAGAGGGAGUUGACAGAGUCCGACACCAUCUUCCCCCACUACGACCCCCGGCAGAUGUUGAGAGCGCACCACGACCUUCGCGGUGCACCUCCUCCUCGUGCUCCACGUGGACCGGUGCCCCCACCUUCUCCUAGGGGCACCCGCAGUAUAGCAGCAGUUGCAGAGACAGAGGAGCAGCAGGAUAUAGCUAUUGGCGCGUUUGCAGAUGCAGAGGCAGAGGGCGAGUUUGACUUCGCCUCAGACAGCUCAGAUGAUGACUAUCAGCCACCAGUGACAGAUCUCCCUCCCAGAGCUCACGACCACGAGGCAGGCGGUUCUUCGAGUACUUCAGACCCCGCCCUGCUUGCUAUCUUAGAGGGGAUGAGGGCAGAUCAGCGCCGUGCAGCUGAGGAGCAGGCGAGGCGAGACAGGGAUCAGGCUGCCAUCAAUGCAGCCAUGCAGGCCAGGCAGGAUGAGCUCCAGCGUCAGCUUCUCACUUUUCAGGAGCAGCAGCUUGCUUUCCAGGCCCAGCAGACAGCGAUGAUGGCCGCUCUCAUGGCCGCCUCAGGGAUUCAGCUACCGCAGAUCCAGCUCCCAGGCACGUCGACUGUCAGGCCACCUACUCCAGUGCCUCAGACUUAGAGCCCGUCUCAGUAGCCGCUUCAGCUACCAGCUCAGAGUCAGCCGUUUUCGACUCCAUAGCACCAGGUCUCCCAGGGUGCUAUCUCUUCCGGCUUUGAGCAGGUACCUCAGUUCACUCCUCUCCGCUCAGGCUUCACUCCUCAGUUAGCGUUAGCGUCACAGCUUGUGUGGGAUUCGCAGACAGAUCCGCACCUCAGCUUCACCUACAGUGCUCUGACUGGUGACCCUACGCCUCCUCCUCUGCAGGCUCCUGCAGUCUUUACGGCGCCAGUUACCACUACAGAGCUUCUGUCGUCGUCAGUAGCGUCGUCCGAGCAGCUUGCACCGUCUACUACCGUACCAGAGACGACAGCUACAGCGACCGAGACCGUGCCAGCUUCGUCAGCCGGACUCGAGCAGCCAGCACAGCCUGUGACAGCUCCAGAGCAGACCCGGACCGCUUCUCCAGCUCCUGCAGCUUCAGAGGGUCACUCCACUUCCUCUGCCUCGACGGCCGACAGUUCAAAUGAUGCAGCUCGCUUCGUGGCCGUGCCGAGGGACUCCACUGCUCCGCCUCCUCCACCGACUUCUUAGGUUUUUGGUGCUUGAUGCCAAAGGGGGAGAGAGUUUGUAGUAUGAGAAUUAGGAGUUAGGGGGAGCUAGAGAGGGUUUAGGAGUCUUCUUUUGAGGAGUCUAUUGUUUUGAGAUACCCUUUUUAUGUGUGCUACUUUAUCAUGCAUCACGUUUACUUUUAUGCAUUGCACUUGUGUGAGAUACUAUGGUUGUGAGACAUGACUUGUGGUUAUUGUGACAUCUUAAUGUCAUGUGUUGGCUCAUAUUACCCUUUGCUUCCGCGUUUUACUCCGUUGUUCUUAUGAGCUUUGUGUUUAUAUCCUGUUGUAUUUCACUCACAUAUUUGGAUGCAGGGUAUUGGACUUGGUUGAUAUAAGCAUGCCUAAUCCUUUCUGCUCUUAUUGUAUCAUGCUUAUUGAAACCAAGUCUCUUUAAAAACCUCAACUCUUUUCAUACUCGAGGUUGUCAUCAAUCACCAAAAAGGGGGAGAUUGAAAGAGCAUCUAGGCCCCUAGUGAUUUCAGUGAUUAAUGAAAUAAUGCUUACUAUGACUAACGUGUGUUUUGCAGAGGCAAAGUCAUAGGUAAGGUCAUGGUUUAUAGGUACUCGAUGGACAGGGACGUACAUGCCUACUUAAUAGUGGAAAUCGUUUCGGUUUUUAAAGGAUGGAUGGACAUCGUCAAGACUAGACUAGGUCUAAGUGCCAUAUGGUGUAGAAGGGCACUUAGAGUAGUUUAGGACUUUGUUUUCCUUUGACCGUACUAUUAAGAGGGGCUUUGAUCUAGUAGCUUGACUUAGGCAUGGCUUUAGGUUUAGGUGUGGUGCACACUUGGUAAACCUAGCACUAGGCAGCUCAGAGAUAGUCCUUAGAUCGAGAGGAACCAACUUCGUUUUGGAGCGAUCGCGUUUUGACGGAGUUUGGGUGCCCAAAGGGGCACCGGACGCUGCACCGGACACUCUGUGAGUGUGUCCGGUGAGGUCCCUAGCCGUUAGAAUAGUGUGGUGCUUAGGGUUAGGCACCGGACGCUAGCACCGGACGCACCGGGUAGCAUCCGGUCCCUUACCCAGGGAGGUUGCAAGCCUUCCCUGAGCACCGGACGCUAGCACCGGACGCGCCGGGUAGCGUCCGGUCCCAUGCGCAUGGAGCAUGUAAAGUUUUCCCGAGCACCGGACGGUGCACCGGACGCUGGGAGUUAGCGUCCGGUGACCUGUCCAAAAAAAAGUGCAGGUAACCGUUAUGAAGCACCGGACGCUCGGUGCAGUGCGUCCGGUGCAACAUAAUGUGCGUCCGGUGACCCCGUUUUCACUGGAAAACGGUUAGCCGACCUUUGGACUUCGUGGAUAGUAUUUAUACUCCUCCACCUCGUCCAUGAGAGUUCUCUUGCCCAUUUGAACUUCAGAGAACCUUGUUGUGGAGCAAGAGAGUUGCAAGAGCCUAGAGAGGAUUGAGAUUUGAGUGAUUUCUUGAGAGAAUCCUUCUCUAGUGAGUUCCAAGAGUCAAGUGUUCAUCCACCACUCUCUAGAGCCUUGUUUGGGUCAAGUGAGAGUUCGUUGCUUGUUACUCUUGGUGAUCGCCAUCACCUAGACGGUUCGGUGGUGAUUGAAGGCACGAAGACCGUCCGGAGUUCUUGUGGGUGGCUCGUGUCAAGCUUGUGAGCGGUUUUGGGCGAUUCACCGCGACGGAGUGUCGAAGAAUCAGCCCGUAGAGAGCACUUGGUCCUUGCGCGGACCAAGGGGGAGCAAGACCCUUGCGCGGGUGCUCCAACGAGGACUAGUGGAGAGUGGCGACUCUUCGAUACCUCGGCAAAACAUCGCCGAGCAUUUUCUUCCACUACUCCUUUACUUUCUAGCAUUUACUUUGUGUUUUUACAUUCUUAGAAUUGCCUUGCUAGAAUAGGAUUGGAACUAGGUUGCAAAACUUUUAUCCGGUAGCUCUCUAAGUCACACUAGGCACAAGGGGUUGAAUUGGAGCUUAUAGGUUGCUUAAAUUUUUAGAGAAGCCCAAUUCACCCCCCCUCUUGGGCAUCUUGAUCCUUUCAGAGAUCUGUUUCACUUUACAACCCAGGUUGUUUUUACAAAUCUAUUGACUUAACAACCCAUGUUUCUACAACUUUGUUGACUUAUUCAUACAUACGUUAAUUUUAACUAUAUGUUGACUUUAAUACACAUGUGUUGAUCUGUACAAAAACCUAGUGUUGCUUUAAGAUAUAUGUUGUGGUAUCCACAAAUAUCAGUUGCAACACAUGUGUUGAUCUCCAAGAAAAUGUAGCUUUGUGAAGAAAUGUUUCACUAGACAAACGAAUGUUCCUUUUAGUUAAAUGUUGCGGUAUACACAAAUAUGUUCCUUUUAGUUAUAUGUUAAUAUGUUGAUUCCAUAUAUAGGUUGCUUUUCACUAUGUGUUGCAGUUAAUAUACAUGUGUUGAUCUAUAAGAAAAUGUUUCACUAGCCAAACAAUUGUUGCCUUUAGAUAUAUGUUGCGGUAUACACAAAUAUGUUUCACUAGAUAUAUGUUGAUUUCACUAUACGUUGCAAUUAAUAUACACGUGACUAUGAAAAUGCAGCUUUUUAAAGAACUGUUUUACUACAAACGAAUGUUCCUUUUAGUUAAAUGUUGUGGUAUACACAAAUAUGUUGAUUAUUUAAAUGUUGCAGUAUACACAAAUUAAAUGUUGCCUUUUGCCUUUAGUUAAAUGUUGCUUUAAGAUAUAUGUUGUUGUAUCCAUAUAUAUGUUACUUUUAACUUUAAGUUUACACAUGUCAAACAAAUAUAUAUUGCGGCAUACACAAAUAUGUUGAUUCCAUAUAUAAGCCUUUCACUAUAUGUUACAGUUAAUAUACACGUGUUGACCUCUAUGAAAAUGUAGUUUUUUAAAGAACAAAUGUUCCAUGUUGUGGUAUCCACAAAUAUGCUCCCCUAUAUGAUAUAUGUUGUAGUUAAUAUACACGUGUUGACCUCUAUGAAAAUGUAGCUUUUUAAAGAACAAAUGUUCCAUGUUGCGGUAUGUAACACCGAAAAAUUUGAUUUUAAUUAAUAGGAAUUAAUUUGAUUUAAUUAAGUAUUUUUGUGAGCAUUUAAAUUUAGCACUCAAAUAAUUUUUUCGAGGAAAAUAAAAUUUAUCAUAAGUUUAGUAAACUUGAUUGUGCAUUUAUGUUGGAGAAUAAUUGUUUUUGUGUUGUGUGUUUUGUUUGAGAAUUAAAAUAACUCAAAACUAUUUUGAAAGAGCUUUGGAAAAUAAAAUAGAAAAGAAAUUUAGAAAAAAAAAGAGAAAGCCUCCCUGGAUCUGGCCCGAAGGCCUGGUUUGCUCCCCUCGGCCUGAUGGCCUGCUGGCCGAGGCCCAGCUUCCCUUUCCCUCUUGGCCUGCUUCUCCUCCACCGCGGCCGAGUGACUCUCGCAACACCUCGCAGCCCAGUUCUCUCUUCCGGCCCAGCACGCCACCCCCUCCCCCUCGCCACGGACCAGAGCGCGGCCGAGGAACGCACGCACGCUGGCCUUCCCCUCCCCUCUCUCUUCCUUGGCUGGCAAGCGGACCCAGCGCCUCCGGUCACCGACAGGUGGGCCCUGCUCGUCAGUCGCCAUUCUUCAACCCUCGAGUCGGGUGUGACCUAGACUCUGUUCUAGAGCCGGACACGAACUUUGGACGGCAAUCCAAUCCUGGCCUCCACGGGAUUUGGCUAAUCCGGUACCCUAUAAAGAUGUAGACCCUUCUCAUGCCCUCGUUUACCUGUCGUCAUGCCUUCAUGAAGCCUUAGCCGCUUUUGGAGCCAUUUUGGAUCUCAGCAAGCACUAGAAGGAAAUACUGCCGAUGCCAUUGCCGUUGUUCUUUGCUCUCUGGUUGUUAUAAGCCCAGGCCGAGCUUCGCGAUGUUCUUGCGGAGAUGCCGAGCCCCUUCUCCAUCUAUAGUCGACCUGGUUCAACUUCUAACCUCCGCCGAUGUAUUCAGGGAGCUCAUCGCCCACCCCAUCUCGAUGUUGGGUCUCCUCGAGCUCUCUCCGGCGCCAAGAAUCUCCUAGGUGAGCUCGCGGUGUCCCCCUCUACGUUCUCGUACUUUUGGUUUUUGUUUUAGUGCACCGUAGCGUCCUGUCGGUGAGCUCCGGCGAGGAGCAAGGCCCUCCAGCCAUGGCGCCAUCGGCCGGGGUUAUUGUAGCCAGCUAGCUCCCUCUCUCUCCCCUCUUGGUUCUAAUCCAAGCAUACAAAUCCAAUCCAACGGUCUAGAUUCAACCAUACCCUUUCAUUCACUCUUUUGCUAACGAGUCCCUGCAUUUCUUUAAAAUAGAACCCGCGGUCCAAUACGUAUUUUCUGGUUCGCGCUUUUCAAUUUUGAAAAUUUGAAAGAAAAUACGUAUUCCAAUAUUUACAAGAUUGCCACUGAAUUUGUUUAGCUCAUAAAAUCUUUGUUUUAAUUCCGUUUUGACCUGUUCAAAUUGUGUUGGAUUCGUUUUCAUGAGCUCUACAUGUUGGUAACACUGUUUUCUUAGUUUGAAACCUUUUAAUUUCAUGAUCCUAUUUAAUUAAUUACUUUUCCGUACGAAAUCUUAUAAAAUUCAUAUCUUCUCCGUUUCAACUCUUAUUUUCGUGAUCUUUACGUCUAUGAGAUCGUAGCGAUGCGUAGAAUCAUUUUAUAAACUCUUCAUACUGUUUUUACAUGUUUGUUGUACUGUUCUAAUUGUAGCCUUGUUUGCUUCGUGUAUGUUGUCUUCGAUUGUUUAUGUGUUGGUGAUCGAUGAUUGAGUUUAGACGGUGAACAAUUCGUGGUGAACAAGAAUACUUCAAUGAUCAAGAUCAGAGCCUUGGACAACUAGCAAGACGAGCAGAAUCAACAAGAGCAUUUGGAUUAAGGCAAGUAUAGCAUUUGGAUUUUAUUUCUGUGACCAUGAUCUUGUGACUGGAUUAAUGUUAAGUAAUAAAUGAUAAAAAUGACUUUUUAGCAACUUGAUGAUUUGUCUGUAAGUGAUAACCGGGACAACAGUGCAACCAUAAGGGCUAUAAUGGCUCUGGCUUUAGCUCAGUAUGAAGACCUUUUCUAGCUUGUUAGCGGUUACCCGAAAGGGCGCUAGAGGGGCUUGCCGUUUUGGGUAUAGUGCGAGCCUCUGUCCUUAUGUGUAUAGGCUGCGUGUCAUUGCGCCAUUUGAAAGAGGGCAUCUAUAUCUGCGCGCCCGGGAAACCUUGCGGUCCUAACAUGUUAGACGAACUUUUGAAAGGCUUCAUAGUGAUCCCUGCCGACCUUCCUUGGUAGUGGGUUAAGAGGUCAACGGGCCUCAGGCAGAAGGAUAAAUCAUAACUCAUGAGUAAAGAUGUGCAACCUCUGUAGAGUGUUAAAACUGGUAUACUAGCCGUGCUCACGGUCAAGAGCGGCCUUGGGGAUUCUUACACUAAGGGUGAUGACUCUUGUUGUGUUAAGAUACUCAUUAUUUAUUGUUUAAUGCUUUACAUUAUUUAUGUCACAUUGAUCAUGAGAUUGUGGGAUCUAUAUAAUCUAGUUGCUAUACUUGUGGAGUUCGACAUGGACUCACUCUUGUUAUUUCCCCCACACUUCAGGAAGUGUUUUAGGCUUGUGAUCAACCAGUUAGUUGGAUCCUGUAGAGAGAAGUUAAUACCCGAAGUUUGGAGUUGUCUAUCCGCUGUUUGCUAUCAAAGGUUAUCUCUUUUAUACUAAGUACGUUAUAUAUUUAUGCAUUGUCUUUUGAUAUUACCCCUUAUUUGUAGCUAUAUGUGAGAUUUGGAUUUUAAAACUCACAUAUGGUGCAUAUCUGGUUUUGUCCUUAAAAUCGGGUAUUACACGGUAUCCACAAAUAUGUUCCUUUAGUUAUAUGUUGCUUUUAGGUAUAUGUUACGGUAUACAUAAAUAUGUUGAUUUACACCCAUGUCUCUACGAAAAUGUAGCUUUUUAAAGAAAUGUUUCACUUUAUAUGAAAUGUAGCUUUUUAAAAAAAUGUUUCACCACAAAUGAAUGUUCCUUUUAGUUACAUGUUGUAUACAUAUGUGUUGAUAUUGAAGAAAAUGUAGCUUUUGAAGAAAUGUUUCACUAGAUAUAUGUUGUGGUACACACUAAUAUGUUGCUUUAGAUAUAUAUUGCGGUAUCCACAAAUAUGUUCCUUUAGACCCGUGUUGACCUCUAUGAAAAUGUAGCUUUUUAAAGAAAUGUUUCACUACAAACGAAUGUUCCUUUUAGUUACAUGUUGAGGUAUACACAUGUGUUGAUAUCGAAGAAAAAGUAGCUUUUUGAAGAAAUGUUUCACUAUAUGUAUGCUGCGGUACACACUAAAAUGUAGCUUGUUAAAGAAAUGUUUCACUUUAUAUGAAAUGUAGCGUUUUGAAGAAAUCUUUCACUAGAUAUAUGUUGUGUACACACUAAUAUGUUGUGGUAUAUCGAAGAAAAUGUAGCUUUUUGAAGGAUGUUCCUUUUAGUUACAUGUCGUGGUAUACAUAUGUGUUGAUAUCGAAGAAAAUGUAGCUUUUUGAAGAAAUGUUUCACUAGAUAUAUGUUGCGGUACGCACUAAUAUGUUGCGGUAUAUCGAAGAAAAUGUAGCUUUUUGAAUAAAUGUUUCACUUGAUGUAUGUUGCGGUACACACUAAUAUGUUGCUUUUAGUUAUAUGUUAUAGUAUGCACAAACAUGUUCAUGAAAAUGUAGCUUUUUAAAGAAAUGUUUCACUACAAAUGAAUAUUCCUUUUAGUUACAUGUUGCGGUAUACACAUGUGUUGAUAUCAAAGAAAAUGUAGCUUUUUGAAGAAAUGUUUCACUAGAUGUGUGUUGCGGUACACACUAAUAUAUUGCUUUUAGUUAUAUGUUGCGGUAUCCACAAAUAUGUUCGUUUAAACCCAUGUUGACCUCUAUGAAAAUGUAGCUUUUUAAAGAAAUGUUUCACUACAAAUGAAUGUUCCUUUAAGUUACAUACUGCAGUAUACACAUGUGUUGAUAUCGAAGAAAAUGUAGCUUUUUAAAUAAAUGUUCACUAGAUAUAUGUUGCGGUAUACACAUGUGUUGAUAUCGAAGAAAAUGUAGCUUUUGUUGCGGUAUACACAUGUGUUGAUAUCAAAGAAAAUGUAGCGUUUUGAAGAAAUGUUUCAGUAGACAAAAGAAUGUUGCUUUUAGAUAUAGGUUGCUAUUAGAUAUAUGUUGCGGUCUACAGAAAUAUUUUGAUUUUUUAAUAUAUGUUGCAGUUAAUACACAGUUGUUGAUCUCAAAGCAAAUGUAGCGUUUUGAGGAAAUGUUUCACUAGACAAAAGAAUGUUGCCUUUAGAUAUAUCUUGCGGUACACACUAAUAGCUUUUACAUAUAUGUUGCGGUAUCCACAAAUAUGUUCCAUUAGUAUAUGUUGCUUUUGGAUAUAUGUUGCGGUAUACACAAAAAAUGUUUCACUAUAUGUUGUGGUAAUACACAUGUGUUGAUAUCGACGAAAAUGUAGCUUUUCGAAGAAAUGUUACAAAAUAUAUAUGUUGGCAUAUACACUAAUAUGUUGCUUUUAGAUAUAUGUUGCGGUAUCCACAAAUAUGUUCCCUUAGAAUGUCGCUUUUAUUUCCAUGUUGUGGUAUACACUAAUAUGUUGACACUAAUAUGUUGCUUUUAGAUAUAUGUUGCGGUAUAUACAAAUAUGUUGCUUUUCAAAAUAUGUUGAAGUUAAUACACAUGUGUUGAUCUCUAAGAAAAUGUAGCGUUUUGAAGAACUGUUUCAGUACACAAAAGAAUGUUGCUUUUAGGUAUAUGUUACGGUAUACAUGUGUUGAUAUCGACGAAAAUAUGGCUUUUUGAAGAAAUGUUACAUUAUAUAUAUGUUAUGGUAUACACUAAUAGUUGAUAUCGAAUAAAAUGUAGCUUUUUGAAUAAAUGUUUCACUAGAUAUAUGUUGCGGUAUACACAUGUGUUGAAAUCGAAGAAAAUGUAGCGUUUUGAAGAAAUGUUUUACUUGACAAAAUAAUGUUAGUUUGAGAUAUAUGUUGCUAUUAGAUAUAUGUUGCGGUUUACACAAAUAUGUUGAUUUUUAAUAUAUAUUGCAGUUAAUACACAACUGUUGAUCUCUAAGAAAAUGUAGCAUUUUGAGGAGAUGUUUCACUAGACAAAAGAAUGUUGCCUUUAGGUAUAUGUUGCGGUACACACUAAUAGCUUUUACAUAUAUGUUGGGGUAGCCACAAGUAUGUUCCUUUAGAAUGUCGCUUUUAUUUACAUUUUGCGGUAUACACUAAUAUGUUGCUUUUAGAUAUAUGUUGCGGUAUAUACUAAUACGCAUGUGUUGAUCUCUAAGAAAAUGUAGCGUUUUGAAGAAAUGUUUUCUUGACAAAAUAAUGUUGCUUUUAGAUAUAUGUUGCUAUUAGAUAUGUGUUGCGGUUUACAGAAAUAUGUUGAAUUUAAUAUAUGUUGCAGUUAAUACACAGCUGUUGAUCUCUAAGAAAAUGUAGCGUUUUGAGGAAAUGUUUCACUAGACAAAAGAAUGUUGCCUUUAGAUAUAUGUCACAGUACUAAUAGCUUUUACAUAUAUGUUGCAGUAUCCACAAAUAUGUUCCUUUAGUAUAUUUUGCUUUUAGAUAUAUGUUGCGGUAUUCACAAAUAUGUUGAUUUACACCCGUGUUGACCUCUAUGAAAAUGUAGCUUUUUAAAGAAACACAAAUAUGUUCCUUUUUAUAUGUUGCGGUAUAUACAAAAAAUGUUUCACUAGUAUUAAUGUGUUGAUAUCGACGAAAAUGUAGCUUUUCGAAGAAAUGUUACAUUAUAUAUAUGUUGCGGUAUAUGUUGCGGUAUCCACAAAUAUGUUCCUUAAGUAUAUGUUGCUUUUAGAUAUAUGUUGUGGUAUUCACAAAUACGUUGAUUUACACCCGUGUUGACCUCUAUGAAAAUGUAGCUUUUUAAAGAAACACAAAUAUGUUCCUUUUUAUAUGUUGCGGUAUAUACAAAAAAUGUUUCACUACUAUUCAUGUGUUGAUAUUGACGAAUAUGUAGCUUUUCGAAGAAAUGUUACAUUAUAUAUAUGUCGCGGUAUACACUAAUAUGUUGCUUUUAGAUAUAUGUUGCGGUAUCCACAAAAUGUUCCCUUAGAAUGUCGCUUUUAUUUCCAUGUUGCGGUAUACAGUAAUAUGUUGCCACUAAUAUGUUGCCUUUAGAUAUAUGUUGCGGUAUAUACAAAUAUGUUGCUUUUCAAUAUAUGUUGAAGUUAAUACACAUGUGUUGACCUCUAAGAAAAUGUAGCGUAUUGAAGAAAUGUUUCAGUAGAUAAAAAAAUGUUGCUUUUAGAUAUAUGUCACGUCAUCUAUACCAGAUUGCUUUUAGAUAUAUGUUGCGGUAUAUACAAAUAUUUUCCUUUAGAAUGUUCCUUUAGAAUGUCGCUUUUAUUUACAUGUUGUGGUACACACUAAUAUGUUGCUUUUAGAAAUAUGUUGCGGUAUACACUAAUACACUUGUGUUGAUCUCUAAGAAAAUGUAGCGUUUUUAAGAAAUGUUUUACUUGACAAAAGAAUGUUUCUUUUAGAUAACUUGCUUUCAGAUAUAUGUUGUGGUAUAUACUAAUACACAUGUGUUGAUCUCUAAGAAAUUGCGGUUUACACAAAUAUGUUGAUAUUUCAAUAUAUAUUGCAGUUAAUACACAGGUGUUGAUCUCUAAGAAAAUGUUGUGUUUUGAGGAAUUGUUUCACUAGAGAAAAGAAUGUUGCCUUUAGAUAUAUGUUACGGUACACACUAAUAGCUUUUACAUAUAUGUUGCAGUAUCCACAAAUAUGUUCCUUUAGUAUAUGUUGCUUUUAGAUAUAUACCACAUUUAGAACCUAGUGAGCUAACUUAACUCCUUCAAUGAAAAUGAUUAUGAAAAUGCUAACACACUUGCACAUGUUGGUACACACAUGUUGGUGUUGGCACACUUUGAGAAGGAGGUGGAGUUUGAGAAGGAGGUGGCACUUUUGAGAAAAUGAAAUGCAUAUUAGGAUCUUUCACAACAAACAAGAUCAAGAUGUGAUAAUUGUAAGGAACAAAGCAAUAUUAGUAGCACAAGGCUAUACUCAAGUUGAAGAUCUUGACUUUGGUGAAACAUAUACCCCGGUUGCAAGGUUGGAAGCAAUUAGUAUCUUGUUGGCCUAUUCUUGUGCACAUAACAUCAAGUUAUAUCAAAUGUAUGUGAAGAGUGCAUUUCUCAACGGCUAUAUCAAUGAAGAAGUCUAUGUUGAUCAACCUACCGAUUUUGAAGAUGACAAGAAACCUAACCAUGUUUACAAGCUUUUGAGAAAAUGAAAUGCAUAUUUUAUAUUGUGCCAAUGGAAAAGUUUGGAGAAGUCGCGGUAGUGUUUUUCACUGAAUGCUGGCCUCAGAGGCACCAGACGCUGCACCUAAGUAUCCGGUGCGCUCUUGUUUCAGGCAGAGGUGAAGGGAGCACCGGACACUCAGCAUCGGAUGCUGGCUGGAUACUAUUGGCGCAUCCAGUGAUGCCUUCAGCAGUGAGAAUGUGAGUGUUUAUGAAUGAGAGCACCAGACACUCAGUGAGCGUCUAGUGGUGUGAGUGCGGUGACCCCGCGCGUUUGACAACCUCUAUGCGUACAUGUCCGCUAUGUACCAGACACGUCCGGUGUCUACUUGACUACGCCCGGUGGUUUGAAUAUGACCAUUAGAGAUCGAUGUGUGAUAUUCAAACAUUGACACGUGGCUGUCAUCCGAGCACCGGACGCAGGGUUUGAGCAUCCAGUGGCUCUCUUGCAGCGCCUCCAGUGGUCCCAAUUUCUGCCCAGUGAAAGAGCCAAUGGCUCUAUUUGUUUGGGGGGCUUAUAAAUAGCUGUUGGCCAGCUUGGGUCUCACUCUCUUGGCAUUCUUGACUACUUGACAUCCUUGUAAGCCUAAGCAAACACCUCCCACUCAUCUCCUUCAUAGAUUAACCAUCUUUGUGAGAUUAGGAGUGAUUUCAAGUGCAUUUGCUUGAGUGAUUGCAUCUAGUGGCACUUGGGGAUCGAUUUGGCUACGGUUUUCUUGUUACUCUUGGUGGUUGCCACCACCUAGACGGCUUAGAGUAGGGAGGAGCAUUGGCACGAGUUGUUGAUUGUUCGUGGCCAUCUCCUGGUGAUUGUGAGGGGCUUUGUGCCUUCCCCGGUGGAGAGCCAAAAGGUAACUCUAGUGGAUUGCUCAUAUCAUUGAGCUACCUCACUUGUGGGUAGACUCUUGUGGUGUCCUAGUGAGGACGAGGUUCAUGCUACACCUCCUAGCCGCCGAACCACCAAGUGUUGGUCGACACAACGGGUACAUAGCGUGUCGGCAAGCACGUGAACCUCGAGAGAGAAAUUGGUGUCUCAAUUGUAUUUGAUUAGCAUUCUCUUGGUGCUUGAUUUUUCAUAUAUUGGUGAUUCAUUCAUCCCCUACACGGUGGUAUAUUUAUCUAAUCCUCUCCCUUACUAACCGCAAAGUAGUGUAAUUAGUUUAGUUGCUUCCUUUGUCUUGUAUAGCUUAAGUUCACUAGUGUAGCUUGUAGUGACAUAGCUCUUGUGUGCCUAGUGAUCACAUCAACUAGAAUUAUUGGAUAGGUGGCUUGCAAAAACCCCAUUAGAGCUAGAGCAAAAAUCUUCACUUUGUUAUUUACUAACCUCUUACUCUAGUUAGUUUGUAGAAUUUUUAAAAUAGGCUACUCACCCCCCUCUAGCCAUAUUAGAACCUUUCAAGUGGUAUCAGAGCCAUGGUCACCAUUUUGCGAAGGCUUAACAACCUCGAUGCAAAAAUUAUGGCUCAAAUAGUGUUGAACCAUGUUGGGGGAAACCACCGUUCUUUGAUAGCACAAGUUAUUUUGACUAUUGGAAGAGAAAAAUGAAAAUGUACCUUGGAUCAAUCAAUGAUAGAGUUUGGGAAGUCAUGGAGAAUGAUUUUGUGAUCCUUUAUCCCGCCAACCCCACUGACAAUGAGAGAGCCAACAAACAAUGCAAUACUAUGGCUAUCAACAUAAUCUACAAUGGCAUUGAUUCAAAGGUGUUUGAACAAGUCAAGGAUCUUGAGAAGGCUAGUGAAGUUUGGACAAGACUAGAAGAGACCUAUGAGGGCACUACAAUGGUAAAAAGAGCCAAGUUAUACAUGCUCAAAGACAAGCUAUCCAACUUCAAGAUGAAGGAUGAUGAGUCAAUUCCGGAGGUGUUCUUGUUGACUCUUCUUAGCAUCACUACCUAGGAUUGUCAGUCCUUGGCACAACACAAGAAAUGAUUGUGUGACACUAGAAGUGGCAAACAGUUUUACCGCAAGCGGACGGUGGUCAAUGUAGCACUUCACCAGGAGUAUUCCAGGUAUCGUAUUUUCCAUGGGGAACGAGAAGUGACUAACUAUACCAAUUGAGUCAUCGGAUGAUGAUCAAAGGGCUUAGGAUUUUGGUGGAGAGGUAUUUUUAGUAUUUGGCUUCUAGCUAAGCUAUCCUAAGUAUACCGAGAGUUAACUCCCUUCCUACUGUGGCCGAUAGGUGAAAAGGGUGUGGUGAAACACUUCCCUAGGCAGCUACCAUGUAGGACAACUAUUACUUGCAACUUGCCUAACAACACAUAAAGAGAAAUCCUAAUGUCCAGCAGAGGCCUAUCACACUUCUCUGCUAGAAGUACUCUGAUGAAAGGCAACUAGAAGGAAGACUUACUAGAAGACAAGCAUCCGCUGAGGCGCUCCUAGAAGAAUACUCCCAACAAGCCGGGACUCCUCCUCGGGGAACUCCUCACUCUCUUCCCUCCAUUCUCACACUAAGCUAAGAGUAGCUCUUCCAAAGAUACAUCAUGCUUAACUAGGCUCUCUAAGGGGGUAUUAUAGGGGAGAGAUGGAGUAGGGGCUACUCCAACGCCACGUCAGCGAUCCGCGUGCUCCCUAUUCUCCACCGCCAUAUGAUCAACGGUUGGGGUUUUCCAUCACAUGUUCAUCAUGGGGACAUCGGUGGGAGUGAAACGACUCAAGAUGGGGCCCACAUGUUGGUCGGCCAACCUGCCAUAUGGAUGACAGUGGGUCCCACUAACCUUCUAGAAGGUCCUUAGGUCGGUGGGAGGCUGGGCUAGGUGGCAUGACCCAAUUGGUCGGUCGGCCGACCGACCUUUGGGGCCCCUUGCCCACCACUGGCCUCCUGGUGGUGUCCCCACUUGUCAUGUGAAGUGUUGUCCAAAGUUGAUUCAGGUUGCACACUUGUUUACUUCCAUGUGGGCCCAAGGAUCCAUGUGCUAAGUGUUGGAACCACUGAGGGCAAGCACACUUGGAUCCAAGGGUUGGGAUUGACUCCUUGGAGUAUGCCAUGGCUCAUGCCAUGGAGGGGAGCCCCUGGUGGGUCCAAACCAUGGUCGGUCGACCGAGGUUGUGGAAGGCUUAUUUCCUUCUUCCCUGCAUUGAACAAGCUAAGAAUACAAGUGGAACUUUAUUAGUGAUAAACAUGUUCAUGUGACGCUUAUCUUCCUUCAACCGAGGACUAUUAACGGGCUUUUGAUUAUAGAACUGGGUCUUAUUUGCCGUCAACAAGAAUCCCCACACUUAAGUCUUUGCUCGUCCUCGAGCAAAGGUUAGAGAAAGAUAACCUAUUAUUAUGAGCAAACACAAAGACUACUCAAGACAUAUCUUAUACAAGUGGGUUAUGUGGCACUGUCUAACAUAUAUCCUUAGGAUGUUGAAGAAUGAAAUAGUUCUCAAAGCAAAGUCAUCUUCCCAUUUUCAUAUCCUUAGUACUUAGAGUUUUUGAUAAAUGUUUUAAAAUGAAGCACAUAGUUCAUCCUUACUCCUCUAAUAGUACUCUCAAGUCACUCAGUAAGUAUAGGAUUCCUCACCAAGGCAUAUCAUAAGAUUGCCUUCUUUUGUUUCAUCCUACAUCUAUUAGGCUUGUGGGGCUCAGGUAGGGGGAAACAAGAUAGCAUACUUGCAUUGUAUCUAUUGUAAAGUUAAAACAAGGAUCCAAGGAGAAGAAUGUCAUAAUCCUAGAUCAAGAUGUGUAAGUGUGUGAAAAAUGAUUAGAAUAUAAUGCUCCUAUAUUUGAUAAGAUCUCUCUCUCUCUAUUUUAUUUGAGACAUGGCUAGCUCUUUUUUUCUUCUUUUUUUCAAAAGCAGUGGACCUUCAUGUGCCCACUUUUUUUGCUAAGCAUAGCCUUUGUGUCUCAUCUUAUAACCAAUACUUAGAGAGAGAUAUUCUAAACCUUAAAACAUGGAGCAUCUAUAUGGUGGAAAUGGAUGGCAUGUUUUUGCGUACUUCCAAUGUAGAAGCAACAUAUAUAUGUGGUGUGUGUGUGAUCUUGAUCUUGGGUCUAUGACAUAAUUCUCAACUAGGGUCAAAAGGUUUGACUAAACUCAACACAAGUACAAGUAUCAUAUAUAGAAGGGUUUUGAACAAGGUAUGAACAUAUAUGGCUGUGGUAGGAAUUCUCUUACUAUUGAGGAGUAAGUGACACUAUGGUUUUAUGAUAUUUUCAAAAAUAAAUCUCUAAGCACUUUGAAUAGAAAGGGUAUGAAUCAUGAGCUAAGAACUAUAUCACAAUUGUCAACCACCAAGUCAAUAUGAUAUUCCUAUCAAAAUAUGUGACCCACAAGUAUAAGCAUAUGCAAGAAUUAGACUUUGUGACACUUUUACCCUUUUGAUGUCAUGAAUCAUGUCAAACUUUUAAUGUCAUAAACCAUAGAUCCAAGUCUUCUUGUUUUUAUUUUUGUUUUAUUUUUUCUAAUAAAGCAAACAAGAGACAGAAAUAAUAAAAAUGAAAGAACAGAGGGGGAGUAGCAGUGGCAAACCAGUCAGAAGGCAGGCAGAUGUUGAGUGGAUGCUGAAUGGUGGGUCUAGGGCUCCAAGGUGGGGUCGGCUGACCCCUCUUGGGCUUGCACAUCACUUCCAUUUGAAUUCCCAUUGUUGAUGAUGUACCUCUGCAAGCUUCUAUUCCUGUUGGCCGUCAAAGAGGUGGUCGACCGACCCCCUAAUUAGGGUAGAAUUUGUCGAGCCAACUUGCCUCACCAUGUACUAUGUCAUGGUGUGUGCAGGAAAUUCAGAGACUUAGUUGGGGGGCCACUAGACCCCCACACUUGGAUUCUUGAACAUUCUAAAAUCCAAAUACAUGGGAAACAUCAAGUGUAGGGGUCCUGCUGGUGGCAAUACACCAACGGGACCAAGUUGGGUCAUGGGUAAGUAGCUAAAAUCUUAUCAUCAAUUUAACAGGGGAAAUUUCAAUCUUGUGUACCAUGGCAUAGAGAAAUUUUAGUUCAUCAUCUUUUAAAGAGUUAGAAGAACCAGGAAAAAGAUUGGUAGUAAUCCAAAAAUAAAUUAAGCACAAUGUUAGAUUGUGAAUUUUAUAGGUUAAGAGAGUGGAGCAAUCAUCAAAAUAUACUCUUGUUAAACCCAGGCAUGGUAGUGUCUAAGUCAAUUGUACAAUCAAAGUCACAACCUAGAGCAGUGGUUAGAAGACCCCAAGUACAGCUACACACUUGCCCACACAUGCGAAAUGUUAUGAGUCAAUUUUAGUGUGCAUAAAAAUUAUUUAGUGAGCACUUCUAUACCAUGUUUAAGGUACUCACCAAACACCUCCCAAACCAAUGGUAUUAAAAUAUCAUUGAAUUCUUUAGUCAAACCUGUGCGGUCCACAAGGGCCGGGUCGAGGAUGCUUGUAUGGCGGAAACCACUCUCCUUUAGGUUGUUGAACUUGAUAAGCUAUUUCGGUGUUAAUAUGAGUUCAUUCUUCAGGCUCCAUUGCUCUUGGAGGAGGUUCGUAGAGCACCACUUGAUGGUGACUCUCCCCUUCCUCCAUCCUCUCAUGGCUUCCCUCAUUAGAGUGAUGAGAGCUUUGAGAACAACUCUCACCCCCUUUGGACUUCUAGAAUCGGGAGAGGAAUGCUUUCUCCAUUUUCCUGCAUAACACAGACAACCAAACUUUUUCCUACUUCUACUCCUAUGCAAGACUAAAUCUUUAUUUGGUUUUUUUUGAAAGGCAACUAUUCUAAUCUUGAUAAAUAACUUGCAACUAAGAAGAGAGAAGAGGGAUUGUGAGCUUGAGAUAAUUUUGGUGGUUUUGGGUGUGGAAUUGAGCUCACAAUGCAUGGAUAUUUAUAGGGGCAGAAGGGCAAGUGGUGAACACCCCAAUGUGGGGGUCGGCCGACCUUCCCAUAAGCACUAUGUUUCAAAAUUUUAAAUCAUGGUAGGGAAUCUUGCAACAUAUAUGAACUCUUUUCCAGAGAUUGGUCAAUGUAGGGGUUGGGCGACCCCUACCCUAAGCACUUUAGCACUCUAAAUGAUGUGGCAUUAACUGUCUACUAAAGUAAAUCCUAGGCGUGGACAAGAAGUAAAGUUCUUUUAUAAGAUUCCCUUGCCUAGUUCUAUGUGAAAGAGAAAAGAUGAUUUGCAAAAGUGGAGAUAUGCUUGAAGUGAUUGUCAGUGAUCAUGACAGCACUAGAGCAUGUCUACGAGACUACUUUACAGGUUUAAGCUGGUGCACAGGUCCCAAAUGGACCAUUUAUUUUCAGACUUUGGCUUGUGUAUCAUUCAUGGGAUUCUAAAGCAAAGCAAAUGGGAGAUAGCAGACUGCCAAAUGGGCAAGUCUUGGGGUCGACCUACCCCAACCUGAAAGCUCUAGGAGCAUCCAAGUGUUCACCUCGACACAUUGCAUCAAGCCAAAGUGAAAGACUGCAAGUGGGCCCAAUGGUGGGGUCGGCCGACCCCACCUAUAGGUGAUCCACAGGUCAAAACUUUAUUGCAAGAUGUUCUCAAGAUUUUCAUUUAUUAUUCCUAAGCAUUUUGUCGAAGGGAAAUAUGCAAACUAAACUAAGCAUGCAAUUGGAAGGGAAAUGCAAGAAUUGAAAUGCAAUGAGUAAAGAUGGGAUAAGUACUGAUUUACCUUAUCAGCAAGGGCUCCAUGUUUUAGGUCUGUAGAGGAGGACCUCUUCAUCUUGUUUAUUGCUUGCGUGCUUGAGGUGGCCCUGGAGAUAUGGACCACGAUUGCACCUCCUCUUGCCACACUUGCCUACCUUUGCCUUGAGGUUAUUGGAGGCAUGGUACGGUUCUCCUUUAAGCACAAUGGCCUCCAUGGUGACCUCUGGUUUUGUAGCUAGUCUCCCUUAUGAUUGAAGGGGGCCUCACUGAUAGAAUUGAUGACAUUUGUGCUAGUGGGGACCAUGACAGGCUACUCAAGGUAACUCGGGAGGCAUAUAGGGGGCUAGAAGGUGUUGAGUUUGAGACAAGGAGGAUUGGGAUGGAGAAGAAGAAGAGGGAAGGCCAAGGAAAGCUAUUGCCAAAGAUUACAAACUUGUUUUCAUAAGAGUUGCAACUAGGAAUAGUUUCUAAGUGCUAGCACCACACUAUGGGUCAGAUUAGGUUUCCCAACUAUGGGUUGCCCGACCCCACCUUGGUGGAAACCAAAGUCCACACUUCUCCCUCAACUCUCCCUUUUGUAGGACCACUUUCAAGAUACUUUCAUCCUAUCAAGUAGGGGUCACCCGACCCCUAGUUGUUGGGUACAUAGCAAGUUUGGGUCCUACAAUUUUUAGGUGAUUAGAUGUGGUCUGGCCAUGUUUGAGCCAUAGUGGAUACUAAGUCUGUAACACCCCAGUGUUAUGGUUGCAUCAAAUAAACAUGUGCAUAGCAUGAGCAUCAUCUUUUAUUCAAAGCAUCCAUGAUCAUCAUCUAUCUUGAGACAUGUCAUCCUUUGCAAAAAUGUGUUUUAAAUGGCUUAAAUAGGCUUCCUAUGCUUAUGUUUGAGUGAACAAUGCUUGUGUUUGUGCUUAAUGCCUUGGUAAAUAGCUUAUCUAUGCUUAACUCAAUCUUGGGAACAAUGUUCAUGUUGAUCACUUCUCCAAAAUAAUCACUUAAGUCAUACUUAUUCAAAUAGACCCUAGAAACCUCUGUUGCUUAGGCUUUUAAAAAGUGUCUCAUAAAAUGUUUGCAUGUCAAAACUUCCUACAGCAAAGUUGUAGCAAAUUUUAUAAGGAAGAAAAGUUGUUUUAUGGCCAUCUCAUGAAAAUGAUCACAAAUAGCUCAAAAGUGGCCCACAAGGCAGAUUUGGGGCUGUUUUCAACACUUAGAAAAUUUUCUAAGUCCUGGGUGCUUCGCAGUUUGCUCGAUCGAUUUUGGAAACUCUAUAUCUUUCAAUCCAGGCCGAUCUGGCCUUUGCUCUAGUUGACAAAGUUGUAGAUCUCGCCUAGUACUCCAAGUUUGUCAACUACGCCAUCUCCUAAUUCGCUCCGGUUUGGGAGAUAAUCACCGGUGAAGUCGCUCUGUCAGUCGGCCAAUGCUCUGCCUGAAUCGGGCCUGACCUCGUCGACAUGGCCGACCGGCGGCAGCACAACGGCGACAAUUGGCGCCCGUACGCCGUUCCUGGCCCCGCCUGUCAGCCCUCGUCGCGUGCAUGACCUCCACGGCGACGCCCCGAGCGAGUGGACGCGUCCACUUCGCUCUGCCUCGCCUCCACUCGCCUGAACCUCGCCCGCAGCGAGCUCUCCGCCGCGAGCUCACUCCGGCGAGCUCGUGUGCGCUCCUCUCUACGUCUCCGUCCACCAAACUCCACCCAAAGAUCCGCCGUGAGCCGCUCUCCAAGCUCCACCCUCUAACUCGCCGAGAAACCCACCGGUGAGCCGACAUUUCUUUCUUCCCCCAAAUCGGUCCGCCGUGACCAUCUUCUCUGGCGAACUCAAUGCCGAGCGCUGUGAGGCUUCUCAUCGUCUUUGGUUAGGUCCUAGAGGUAGCUUAGGUCAUUAGCGAGCUUUUGCGCCACCUGGUGGACGCUCUACCGGGUUCUCCGUCGCCGGACACGGUGCGCAGCGCCGCCGUGCUUCCGCCGGAGUUGGGUGCUCUCGUGGCCAGUGCUUUCCACGGGGAUCCAGGCCAAGCCGCGUACCUAGGAAGCUUCGCCCUAGUCUGCUGGUGAUGUAGAAGGCCUUAGGUCACGCUCUACCGGCCUGAGGGCUCCGGCGUAACGCCGAGCACCUCCGCCGAGCCGCCAUUGCCGACGGUGAGCCCCUUCCGGUGGCUCCGCCGCGGCAAAAGUAGGGUCAAUCGAGUCGUUAGGGUUUGGGGAUCACGUUGAUGCCCUGGGUUUGGCCGGAGACCUCGCCGUCGCGGAGAAAUCGCCGGUGAAAGUCGCCUCGGCCGUGAGGAAGAAGAGCCUGACGGGUGGGACCCACUGUCAGCGACUCUCUUUCCCUCCUUUUCUUUUAUUCAAAAUCCUGAUUUUUGGCUUUCUUGCAAAAAUCAUAUCUCCUGUUUCUGAGAUCCAAAAAUUGUGAAACAAAUUUUGUGUUGUUUCUUGAGAUGGCUAGUAUUUAAUAAAAAUAUAAAAUGAAUCAUGUUUUCAGAGAAAUUAUUUAUUAAGGAUUUAAUCUUGUUAUUUAUGGAUAAAUGCAUAUCUCUGGUUUUACUGAUUAGUUUGCUCUAAAAAUUUUAUGGUGGCCUUUGCAUGGCAUUAGAGUGCUCUGAUAAUUAUUUCAUGAUUUUUGGAGCACUGCAGUUGUGAUAUGUAAUUUGUGUUUGAAAUAUGGCUUGUUUCUUUAAUUAAAUCACAUAAAAUAAUUGGUGCUUAGGCUGGUGCUCUAUUUUGGUGGUAGACUUGUUUAUGGUAUUCCUAAGAUAUAAAUAAUCUGAAAUCUGUUGUUUGACACUAUAUAAGUCAUGUCUAUGAAUUUAUGAAAUAAAUGCCUUGAUACAUGUUAAAUGCAUAUCUUUAAUUUGGCAUGUGCAUUGGUCCUGAAAUUUUUAUGGUGGUGAUCUGAUGUUAUCCUUGUGCCUCUGUAAUUUUUGUAGAUUUUUCUGAGCACUUUAACUAAUAUCUUGUAAAUAUGCCUUGUCUAAAAUUAAUUAAUAAAUGCCUUGUUAAGUAAAUUGUUUUGGGGUUUUCAACUGAUGAUCUGGUGACCUUGUAAUAUGUUUGUGCUCAUGAGUCAUAUGGUUGGCAUAGUUUGUGUUUUGAUCAUGUCAUUAAAUAAUUAAGUAUAGGGUUAAAUGCUGUUCUGGACAGCAAGUGAGUAAUUUAACUUUGCUUAAUGAUAACUUGACUUUCUGUGAAACUUGUAUAAAACAAAGUUGUUCUAAACUUAUUGAACUAACUGUGGUUUAAAUUUGAGGUCAUUUGGCCAAGUAGUUUAAAAGUUAUAGCUGUUCCAAGUUGGGUUCCAGAAAUAGGGGCUCUCUGUCUUUCUGGGACAGAACCUGGAACUUUGUUAAAAUGACUAGUUUAAUGUUUGAAUCUUGCUGUCAUGUUUAAAGAUGAAUUGUAGACAAUUUCCUAAGCUUUCCAGAAUGUCCUUACUCAUGUUUGUUGGACCUGUCUAUCUAUAAUUAUGAUUUAUUUACUGAGCAUACUUGUUUUAUGUUGUUUGCUGCUUUAGUGCCAUGAUAGGUUUUGGGUUAUGUUAACUUGUUUAUUCAUGUGAGUUAGUAUAACUCUUACUCCGUAAAUGAGUGCCCAGUGAGUUGCUUGUGUUAUUAAGCAUUCAUCUGUAGCAUGUGCACCUUCUCAUUCAUCGAGCAUGCAAUAGGUGCACCGGACGUGGCAGUUUCCUUCGAGCUCCAAGCGAACCCCGGAGGCCAGGAAGGCAGCCAGGAGGUGGAGGUCCAGCAAGCCGGACUCGAGGAGCCCGAAGAAGAAGUUGAGUGCCCGAAUCACGAGCCGGCAUCGUUCGUGAAAGGAAAGCCCCGGAGCAUUCUAAGCCUCCUCUAUUUUCGAAAGUUUACUUAAUACGUUAUAUCUAUUGAUGCAUUACGUAUAGGAGUUGUGAUGAAAAUGUUGCUGCAUUCUACCCUAUCCUUGUCCAGAUAACUUACCCUCCCCGGUUGUAGAGUUAGGUCCGAGUAGCAGCUUAGUUAUGCUUUAACCGGUAGAAGUCGGGUGAUAUCCUGUCAUCCGCGCGAUAUAGGGUUGUGUCGGGUCGCGAUGGUCUAUAUGUGCUAUCGUGGAUGGAACCUGAUUAAAUUGAUAUAAGCCGGGCGGAGUUUUGCAAGUUUGUAGUGACUCCGUCUGUGGCAGCUAAGGACCGAUCGUUGUACGUCCUCUUGUCAUGUUGAACGCAUGCCUGACACUUAGUUGGCCGGAUAACUCGUUCCGACCGCGAAGCCGAGUAGUAUGACUCAGGCCGGAAGACCGGCAAGUAUAAAGUGCGCACUACCGGAGGAAGUGCGGUGUGCGGGGGACCAUUGGCGUAAGUCCAAAGGCAGGUGAGUUAAAAUUCCUGACCUCCCUGGCAGAGUGGUAGCCCUGGGAGUGCGGCGCUGAUCGGAGCCGCGAUUCCUGAGUUGUACCAAAGGUGACCCAUUGGCUCUCCGGCAGGGGAUGCUUGGGUGAGUGCUAGGAAUAAACCUCCAGCUGGAUAGGAAUUCGAUUCGAAUCGCCGUCUCUCCCGGUUAGUGAGAACUUGACAGAGUAGCGGCAAACGUAGCAUUCACUAAUAAACUUGGUUCAUGAUAAUGAUGAUAGCAAGAAGAACAUAUGAUGAAAUUGAUAUGGUUAUUAUUGUUUGGAAUAAUCAAGUGAUGUGUUGUAGUACAGGUGCUAAUCUAGUGGUAGGCUGGUGAUAAAUAAAUCUGAUGCUCUUAAAAUGACUUAGUGGUAAGUUAAGCUUUCGGCAAAGAGGUGAGUCAACCAGCUCCACUUAAAAUUCAGCCUUGCAUGAUCCUUGGUGUCUUUUAUGUUUUACUAGACGGGUAAGUCUAGCUGAGUACAUCCUCGUACUCAGGGUUUAUUCCCACCUGUUGCAGAUGAUAUCUUCUAUGACGGUUUCUGCAAGACCUGUCUCCAUCCCGCUGGGGAUGAGGACUAACCGUUGGGCACGGUUCUCUAAUCUUCUCGUCUAUGAUGCUUUUGAGAGGAUGACCUAGACUCUGGCAGUAACAAACUUGUGAACUGAACUUUGAACAAGUGUGUGUACUUAUUUUGCUUCCGCUACUUCGAACAAGUGUUGUAAUAACUUAAUACUCCGAUGUGGUGCCGCUUCGACGGCAAUGAAUGACUAUGUAGCAUCCGUUGUAUUUAUGUUGAACUAUUACGAUCUUGGUUUGUUGCGAGUUGGUUUGAAGUCCUUCGUGAUUUCGAUUGACUACCGGGAUUAUAUGGGCUCAAGUUUAGAAACUUGAUUGUUUGACGAUCGUUUCUGCACUUGAACUCUUAUAAUUUGGUCGGUUCUGUGACAAAGUCCAGGUUGCUCGACCCCAGUUUUGAAGUUCUAGAGCGAAUAGGUUCUGGGUUUGUACUUCCCCACAUGCCAUAGAUGGUUUGGCUAAACAUAGGCUUGGUUAGCUACUAAGAUGGGGUCGCCCGACCCCAUAAUGGAGGCUCCCCAAGACUAGUUUUGUUUUAAGGACUAACAUAAGUGUAUUCAUGAUAUCCUAAAAGCCAAUCCACACAAAAUAUAUAAAAGAAGUUAAGACAUGUAGAUUUUAGUCUUGUUGAAUCAUUAGCAAGGAUGUGUUCUAGCAUGUCAACUUCUUCUAUCAAGGAUCAAACUUCUAGAAAACUCUUAAGAAGGUGGCCACUUACCUCGAAGAUGAUGAGUCAUAGCAUUGGCGCUUCUUAGUUGCAUCAAAGUUCUCUUUUUGGUUACUACCACUUGCUACAUUAUUCUAGGAGGGUGAGUGCUCUGAAAAAAGUGAAUAUGAGGGAAUAAAAAGGGGCAAGUGCCCAGAACCUCGAAGGAAAAAAAAGUGAGACGAGAGGUAAAAAUGGACAAGUGUCCGACAGUAGAAUUAGGGGUACAAGAUACCCACCUGAGAGAAAAAAAAGAAAAUAUAGAGCAUUUGAUUCUCCUCAAAAAAGCUUCAAAGUGCAAGAGAGGUAUGUAUCCCCUAAAAAGAGCAAAAGUAGAAUUAGACUUUCACCAUUGUUAUCACCAUCAUCACCAUACACCAUUCAUUCGUCACUCAUGCACAUCUUGAUUUGACUUAUUGACUUGUUUCUCUGGAUCUAUGGUUUGACUAUGCAAUAAAUGUCUUGUAAGUAUGUACUAUCUAUCUCCCACCUAUGAGCUCCAGAUAUCAACACCUUAUUAGAGUAUGGUGAGAGAGAAGGCAAUAUCACUAUGCCUCAUACCAAAAAUACCACAUACUUUGAGAGAAGGCAUAUACCAUUAUUGCCUUGGAAAGGAUCCAGAAAUACCACAAAAGAGAGAUUUGAGAGAGUCAUACAAGGAAUCUCUGAGUUUUAUUUGAAAAUUUGCAAAAACUCGAGAGCUAUAGUUAAUCAAAGAACAAGAGACAUGACACUUGACUAGACUGUUCUAUCUUUUAACUGCUCAAGACACAAGUGAUGGUUGCAAGCCCCAUGGUGAAAGGUAAAAUGAGUAAGUUUUAAGUCUUAACAGUUUACUCUAACUCAGAGAUGAGAUCUUGCUUGAACGCAUGUGUACUUUUAAGGCAUGAAACCACUGUAGAAACUCUUGAGUCCAUCCUUGCUCAGGGACGAGCAAGAGGUAAGCUUGGGGGAGUUUGUUAACGGUCCUUAAGUACCAAAUAUAAUCAUCAAAUAAAUAAAGAAAAGGAUCCAAAUGCAACCAACACCCAGACUUAGAGUUUUAUCUGACCGAAUUCCACGAGUUUUGGUGUUUGUCUAUUUCUGCAGGGGGUUAUCAGGAAAUAUGGAGGAAAGGCCCACACGUCGGGUUUACAUAGAGAUAUUAACGUGUCGCGCAAUUUUCUAUCAUCUAGAAGACUCCAGAAGCCACGAGAAUGAACGGGAGGCCGAGCGGGCCCGGGGGCAGGGCGCCCGCCCUCCCCCCUUGGGCGCCCGCCCAGGUGUCUCAACCAUUCACGUUCAAUCUAGCGGAUUAUGCUCCACCGACCUAAAGGAUCAAGGAAAACUGUGGCGAUUAAUGUCGGUUUGAUUCGACGGCCCAUAUUCAUUUGGAGGGGGUAUAUAAGCAAGCCCCCUGGCCCCUAGAGGAGGCAAUCCCCAUUAUUCAUUAGCAUAUUUUCCAGAGAGGAUUCAGAGAGAGAGGUUCCUUAGGGUUCCAACCUCAUAGGGCUUAGCAUCCAAUGUGAGAGUAGAAUUAGUUCUACUAGAUUGAGAGAGAUAGAGUGGAGGUGUAGAUCGGAGGAAGCCCGGCCUAUCGGUGGCUACUCUGAGGUUGUACCUACGGGAUCAAGUCUCCUAACCUGAGGCUUGCUCCUAAGAUUCUUCAAAAUUUUGACUUCUAAAUUCUAGUAAGUUCUUUGUUCUAUUUCUUUGGUUUAUGAGUUUACUUUGAUCUCUUCAUGUAGAGUUUGGAGUAAUCAUCUCUAGCGUAAACGUGGUGUUUGGGCUAGGAUACUCAUAGAUAUCCCCUGUCUAGCCGGACCGUGGUAGUAGCGAGGAACGUGACAUUUCUGAGUUACCUUUGUAGCCCAUAAUCCCGUUAGUAGGAUCGAUAGGGUUUAUAGGUGCGGGUCGAACAUCCUUUGUGGUGUCUAGAUUCCAUGAGCCUCCCCAACAGAAUAGUAGAUCAUCCUUACCAAGGUUAGAACGAGAAUGCGGUUGUAGUCUUUUCUAUACAUCACUCACAUCGAGUCAUAGUGGUUGUAGCCUAAUGGGUAGUAGCAAUAGAUUUGGUUAGUUGGAUGCACGCUUUCUCCCAGUGGUAAAAAUAUAAAUACGAUACUCUGGAUAACCUCCUGGGUGAAGUGCUCACCGAUAUCCGUGCGAUUGCAGAUCAUUUCCUAAUGGCAUUAACAAAUAUCAACACUAGCCACAUAUAAUAAUGAUAAGCACCUCAACAGAUAUUCUAGCAAGUCAUUAGCAUAGAAUUAGGAUGAACUACAAGAAUAUUUCCUAAGUUAUUCUUAACUAUAAAGUCUAGCAUAUCAUAGUUAGUACAAUUAUAGUUGUCAAUCAUUGCGAGACAGGACUACGCCCAUGCAUACCGAUAUUAUCAAGGAAGAUGAGAAACAUAGCAAUCACUCCCCUGUAAUAAUGUUGCUCUGCCUGCCCUAUACACGAGAGGGGGACUAUAUAAGAAUCAAUGGAGCUGUCACUACCAUGAACUACCCCGUGAUCCGGCAUAUAGGAACAAUGAUAAUUGGAGCUGUCACUACCAUAGAACAAUAGAGGAAUUACCAAGAAUCCUCUUGACAGAUCCGGAAACCAAUCGAAGAUUGACUCCUUCUAGUUCUAAUGAUAUAUAGCUAUGCUAAACUAGAUAUCUAGUUGAUGUGGUGGCUCUAGGGCUUGAUUAGAGACUUCUUCUCCUGAGAUGGAUGAAUGAAUUAGGGUUUCUAAGGUCCUCUCCUCCAGGGGCCAGGGGUCCUACUUAUAUAGUCCUUCCAAAUGAAUAUGGCCGUCGGAUCAAACCGACCUUAAUCGCACGGUUUUCCUUAAUCCCUUUGGUGAGUGGAGCAUGAUCCGCGAGGCAGAGCCUGAUUGGCUCUCAAGCGCCCUGCUCGUUCCCGUGGCUUCUGGACUCUUCUAGAUGUUGGAUAAUUGCACGGCACGUAAAUAUCUCUAUGUAAACCCGACGUGUGGUCCUUUCCUCCAUAUUUUCUGAUACCCCCCUAUAGAAAUAGACAAACACCAAAACAAGUGGAAUUCUGUCAGAUAAAACCCUUAGUCUGGGUGUCGGUUGCAUUUGGAUCCUUUUCUCUAUUUAUUUGUUGAUUAUAUUUGAUACUUAAGGAUCAUCAACACCUCCUAGGGUGCUAUUUCAGUGGCAGGUGGUAGUGGAGGUGGUACAAAUGCAUGUGAGUGAUAAUGUGAAUUUUUGGAUGGUGGUGAGUGAUGUGAUUUGAUGUGAUGUGUCUAGGUUCCACAUGUCUCCCAUAUUUAUACCAUAUAAUGACGCAAGGAUGAAAAAAUAAAUUACUUCUAUGAAUCUAUGAAAAAUUAGAAUCCAAAUGAUAGUAUUUUUAUAAUUUUCUGCCACCACAGUAAAUUUCACUGACGGGGGUUUUUACACUCUGUCAGUAGUAAUCACAUGGGGAUUUAAACUUUAAUUAUGACAUGCUUACUUUUAUUUUCUUUUAAUAAUGCAACUUGUGAAAAUAAAUAUGCUAAAAAUUAAUGCGAGAAUUUAAUUACUGAUAACUACUGAAUUACCUCCCGGUGAAGGUUUGGGGUUUUUAAGUCCACCGACUUGGACUUCUCCAGUUGAAUUAUUCUUUAUGAGUGCUCUCCACUGUCGGAGAUGUUGACGCAUCUUGAUCUUCUUGAUUAUUUAGAGUCUUGAAUUGCUCGGGUCUUGGCCUAAAUGCGAAUCGCUCUUCUUGCCGAUUAAUGGUGAAUAUUAUUUCUCCAGCUCCAACGUUGAUGGUUGCAUUUGCAGUGUUUAGGAAUGGUCGCUCAAGGAUAAGAGGUAUCUUCCUGUCUUCCUAAAUGUUAAGUACCACAAAAUCUAUAGGAACAAAAAAGUCAUGGAUUCUUACCGAAAUUUUGUCUUCUAUCCCUGCAGGGUAGCGGUCUGAUUGGUCAGCUAGUUGCAAGCACAUUGUUGUUGGAGUGAGCGUGGAAUAGUCGAGUUUGUCGAAGACUAUCUUGGGCAUAACACUGACGCUUGCAAUAAGAUCACAAAAGGUGUUCUCGAACAUCUGGUUGCCUAUAGAAUAAUCUAUAGUGGGACAUCCUAGGUCCUUCUUCUUGAUGGGAGAAGAACGUAGGAUUGCUUCAUUACAUGCCUUUGUUAGCUUGAUGACUUCAGUCGACGGGAGUGGUCCUUUGUUCUCUCCAGCUUCUUUGUCUACCUGCACUAAAUGUGAAGGUCUACGUGCCCCUUCUGGGUAAGGUGGAUCACGUGUAACCUUACCUCCUCUAGUAGAUAUUCCUUUAAUCUGUUCAUGGUUAGUGGCAGACAAAAUAGAGGCUAGAUGUGUAAUUUGUGAUUCUAUCUUUUUAAUGAACAUUAUUUGUUCUUUAAUUGCUAGAGAAAAAUUAUCUAAUUUUGAAUUAAUUCCUUCUAACAUUUCAUCAUUAAAAGCAAGCUUCUUAUAAAGACUCUCAUUAAUUCUAGCUUGUUCUAAUAUUAAUUCUCUUAAGGGUGGUUGUCUCUGAUUUGAAUUGAAAUCAUUUUGAUACUUACCUUGGUUUGCUGCCUGAGGUUGACUCCAUCCUUGUUUCUUGGAGAUUGCACUGAUAUCUUCUUCAUGUUGAUCUUGAGAAUUGAAUGUAUCUUGAAGGGCUUGACAAUUUCUUUUAUAAUUAUCCCUCUGCUCUAGCCAACUCAAUAAAACAUCCAUCUUGGUUGAUAAUGCACACAACUCCUCUGGAACUUCUUCACUUUCAUGGCAUGUCUGAGUGUUGAAUGUCCAAUUCUGAUUUUCUGCCAUCUUUGCCAUAAUAGCUUCAGCUCUUCUAGGGGUGAGUGACAUAAAUGAUCCUUCAGCAGUGGCAUCUAAUUGCUCACAUGACCUUUGAGUUAGUCCAUAAUAGAAUGUCUGCAUGAGCAACCACUUCUCCAUUCCAUGAUGCGGGCAGUCUGAUAUGUAUCCUUGAAAAUGCUCCCAUGCUUUUGGAAUAGGUUCACCUUUCUGAUGAUGAAAUUCUGAAAUCUUCCCUCUUAAGAUAUUUGUUCGGCCUAUUGGGAAAAUCUUCUAUAGCAAAGUCUUUGAACAUUCUCUCCAUGUCUUGAAUUGAAUUUUACUCUGAUAAAAUCACUGCUUUGCUCUUCCCUCUAAUGAGAAAGGAAACAAGUGAAGUAGCACGACAUCUUGAGGAAUGUCUUGAAUGUCAAUGGUAUUGCCAAUCUCCAGAAAAUUCUGCAAAUGUGCAAUGGCAUCUUCAUCCUUCUUUCCACUAAAUAUGAUAAGUUGCGCCAUCUUGAUAAGGCUUGGCUUGAUCUCAUAAUCAUAUUCUCCAAUGUCAAAAGUUGGACCUACGCGAAUAUUCUCAGUGCUUGGAGAAGAGAAUUCAUGUAGAGUCUUCUCAGCCAUCGCUUCUCAAAAUGAUGUAAGACCCUUCUUCCUAUGGUUGUUCAUGAUAAGAGUUAAAAUACUACAACCAAUCUUGCUCUUACCCUAUAAAGAAUUGCUACAUAAAACAUGGGUAAGUCUGCUAAAGCAAAACACUAUGUCCUAAGAUAUUUAAAUGUUGAUUUCCUAUGGAUGGUUCUAUGAAAGAUUUAGUUGUAUGAAAUUCUAGAAAGUAUAAAUUUUGGCUAAUCAGUAAAUCCUUUUAAAGUAAUCCUAAUAAAUAAAAUUGCCUUCCCUGGCAAUGGCGCCAGAAAUGCUUGUUGGUAUUUUUAGCAUUACUUCAUAUUAAGUUGUCAUCCCUAACAUGAUGCCAAAAACCAAGGAUAAAAAAUAAUCUACAAUCAAUAACUCUAAAUAGAAUAUAUCCACAAGCGCACAGAUAAUUCUCCCUUUGUAGCAUUUCACCCAGGAAGUAUUCCGAGUAUCGUUGAUUUAUUUUAUGCCAAAAGGAUAAAACAGCAUUCUAUUUAUUAGGCUUAGGUGAUCUUGUAGGAACUAAAUAAAUUAUAAUUAUGUAAAUCUAUCAUAGCCAAUAGGAUUAAUACUUAGCGAUAAAUAGUCAAUAAUAUGAUAAAUGAUAAAUGGUAAUUGAGUAAUGAAGUAAAUGGUAUCCCAGAGAUAGAAAAUAAGGACUCACAAUGUAGCAAGACAAUCUUGAUAUUCAAAUAAAUAAAACAAACCUAUGUAAUUACUAAUAUAAAGUCUACAGCCUACGCCAUGCUACACAUUUUCAUCUAUAGUAUGAUAAACUCAGAAAACAUCAUAAGGAGCAUCAACUAAUGAGGAUUUUAAGACGCAACUGUUGUCACAGAACCGACCAAAUUAUAAGAGUUCAAGUGUAGAAACGAUCGAUCUAGCAAUCAAGUUUCCAGACUUGAGCCAAUAUAAUCCUGGUAGUCAACCGAAAUCACGAAGUACUUCAAACCAACUUUGCAACAAACCAAGAUCGUAAUAGUCCAACACAAUACAGCGAAUGUUACAUAGUUCAUUCAUUACUGACGAAGCGGCACCACAUCGGAGUAAUUAGUUAUUACAACACAAGUUCAAAGUUGCGGAAGCAAAAUAGUUUACACACGCACACAUUUCAUCAGUUCUUAUUACUGCCAGAGUCUCAUCUCAUCCACCAAAAUCAUCAGGGUACGAAGCUAGAAUGAACACGAUAAAAGACUUCAUCUGCAAUAGGUGGGAAUAAACCCUGAGUAUGAGGAUGUACUCAGCUAGACUUACCCGUCUAACCAAACGUAAAAGACACCAAGGAUCAUGCAAGGCUGAGUAUAAAGUGUAGCUGACUUGACUCAACAUUUGCCAAAAGCUUAGAUGGGAUAACACAACAUUUGUAAAAGCAUCAUAUUGAUUAACAUUAACCUGCCACUAGAUUAGCACCUACGCUAAGCACUUCACUUGAUUAUUCUUGACGGUUCUUAAGUAUCAAUUUUAAUUAUCAAAUAAACAAGAGAAAGGACCAAUAUGCAAACAACACCUAGAAUUAGGAUUUGAUCUGACACAAUUCCACGAGUUUUGUUGUUUAUCUGUUUCUAUGGGGGGUUAUCAGGAAAUAAGGAAGAAAGGCCUACAUGUCAGGAUUACAUAGAGAUAUCAACGCACCGCGCAAUUUUCUACCAUCUAGAAGACUCCAGAAGCCACAGGAACAAAGCGGAGGCCGAUCAGAACUCUUUUCGCGGACGACGCUCCUGUUGGCAUAUCUUAACGUCAUCACUAAGAAUAGGGUUUAAUCCAUCCUCAGCAACGAUGUCAGAAAUGUCGUCAUAAUACUUACUAAUGCAAUCACCAAGAUUAGAGUAUAAAUCUAUCCUAAGCAACGGUGCCAGAAAUACUUGUUAGCGUUUCUUAGCGUCGCUACCUAGAAUAGGGUUCUGCUCUACUCAUGAUAAUGACAUUGGCAGUGUUAUAUUGACAGAUCCGUAGCAUCAUCACCUUGAAUAGGAAGCUAGAUCUACCUUCCCGAUAACGGUGCCUUAUUACCGUUAGGGUAGGGUUCCUGUUCUUAAUCAUGGUAGUGGCACUAGGAUUGCCAUGUUGGUAUUCCUUAACAAGUCACUAGCUCGGCGCAUGUCUAGCAACAGUGUUAAGUAUAUACCGGGGUGAUAGUUCCUUAGGUUUGGAGUUUAAGUACCGCAAGUGGACGGGAAUUAUCGUGUACAUUUCAACCCGGGGAUUUACCGAGUGUCGUAUUUAUAGGUUCGCUCUAAGGAAGGCUUAAUAUGUUAAGGAUUCUAAGGUAAGCAUAGAUCAAAAUAAUUAUGAUAGCAAUAAUGGAAUCAAAGGUCAUAGCAGGUGAUAAACAUUUAUAUGUAGAAUAGUGAUCCAUCACAAUCUAGGCAUGGCAUAUGGGCUAAGGAAUAAAAAGAGACUAAAAGAAUGAAUUGAAUCAAAGAAUAAACAAACAACCUAUUGGAGCAGGUGUGGUCCUAGAUGUUGGGUAUUCUUAACAUCAUUACCAAAAGUAGACUAAGUUCUAAAUCUAGCAACGGUGCCAAAAAUGCCAAACCUAUCCCUCACACCACUUAAGCCAAGUUGUCAUCCCCAGCAUGACAUGAGAGACGCGGUAUUGAAAUAUGCAAUUGCUCUUCUAAAUAAAUAAUGAAUGGGAUCUGCAAGCGCACAGAUUAAUAUCGAUGUAGCAUUUUAACCGGGAAGUAUUCCAGGUAUCGUUAUUUAUAUUUUUACCACUGGAAAGGGAUUAAUCAAUCAUCACUAUUGAUUACAGAAUAGAAUAUGAGAUUGAGUAUCUAUCAUUGCAUGUAUAAUUGAGAACAUUAUAUCUAACUCUUCAUACAGGGAUAAGUGUCACAUAAAAGAUAUAUGAAAUGAUAAUAGUGACAAGGAUAACUAAUCUGAUCUAGCCACAUAAUAAAUAUGAUAAGCACCUCAAUUAGAUACUCUAGAAAGUCAUUAGCAUGGUAUUAGAACGAACUACAAGAAUAUUCCCUAAGUUAUUCUUAACUAUAUAGUCUAGCAUAUCAUAGUUAGUGCAAGCAUACUUAGCAAUCAUUGCGAGACAAGACUACGCCCAUGCAUAGUGAUAUUAGCAAGGAAUAUGAGAAACAUAGCAAUCACUCCCCUGUAAUAAUGUUGCUCUGCCAGCCCAAUACACGAGAGGGGGACUAUAUAAGAAUCAAUGAAGCUGUCACUAUCACGAACUACCCCACGAUCUGGCAUAUUGGGUACAAUCGCAGAUAAAUACGGUAUAAGCACCACGCCUACACAAUAUCUAUCGUUUACCCAUGGAUCCGAUGGAUAAACGCUAUACGAUCCUAAGCAUGUAUAUAGAUCGUAUCUAACUAAGCCAAGUACAUAACUAUGACAAACUAGGAACAAUAUAAUCUUGAAUAUAAGCAAAUAGAGCAAAGUCAUAAGCAAUAUAUUGAAGUAGAACAAAGUCAUAUUCAUAAUAUUGAAGAACAAAGAUAAUUAGAAAGCAAUUAAAAGCACAAUUAGAGAAUUACCAAGAAUCCUCCUGACAGAUCCGGAAACCAAUCGAAGAUUGACUCCUUCUAGUUCUAAUCCUAUGUAGCUAUGCUAGUCUAGAUAUCUAAUUGAUGUGGUGGCUCUAAUCUUGAUCAGAGGCUUCUUCUCCCUUGAUGGAACAAUGAAUUAGGGUUGAGAGGCUCUCUCCUCCAGGGGCCAGGGGGUCUGGUUUUAUAGUCCCUUCAAGUGAAUAUGGGCCCUUGGAUCAAACCGACAUAGAUUGUAUGGUUUAGAUUCAUCCUUUAGGUCGGUGGAGACUUCCCGCAAAGCAGAGUCCUGAUUGGACUCAGGGGCAGGGCGGGCGCCCUGACCAACUGGGCGGCCGCCCAGGGUCUAGCCCCGUUUUGCCUCCGCUUCGGUCUCGUGGCUUCUGGAGUCUUCUAGAUGUAAGAUAAUUGCGCAGCACAUUAAUAUCUUUACGUAAUCCUGACAUGUGGGCCUUUCUUCCAUAUUUCCUGAUAACCCCCUACAGAAAUAGACAAACACCAAAACUCGUGGAAUUCUGUCAGAUAAAACCCUAAGUCUAGAUCUUUAUUUCAUUUGGAUCCUUUUCUUUGUUUAUUUGUUAAUUAAAUUUGAUACUUAAGGACCGUCAACAAACUCCCCCAAGCUUACCUCUUGCUCGUCCCUGAGCAAGGAUAGACUCAGCUAUGGAUCAGAAGUUGCUGCAAUAUCUUUAAAAAUUUGACGGUACACAUGCUCUUAAAUAAGAUCUCAUCUCUGAGUUAGAGUAAACUGUCAAGACUUAAAACUUACUUACUUUACCUCCACUAUGGGACUUGUAACUGUCACUUCUGUCUUGAGUGGUUAAAAGAUAGAACAGUCUAGCCAAGUGCCAUGUCUCUUAUUCUUGAUCAGCUAUAGCUCUGGGAUUUUUGCAGAUUUUCAAAUAAAACUCAGAAUUCCUUGUAUGAUUCUCUCAGGUCUCUCUUUUGUGGUAUUUUUGGAUCCUUACCAAGGCAUUGAUAGUAUAUGCCUUCUCUCAAGAUAUGUGGUAUUUGUGGUAUGAGGCAUAGUAACAUUGCCUUCUCUCUCAUCCUACUCUAAUAAGGCUUUAAUAUCUGGAGCUCAUAGGUGGGAGAUAAAAUAUACAUACUUACAAGACAUGUAUUGCAUAGUCAAACCAUGGAUCCAAAGUAACAAGUCAAUAAGUCUAAUCAAGAUGUGCAUGUGUGGCGAAUGAAUGGUAUAUGGUGAUGAUGGUGAUAACAAUGGUGAAAACAAUGGUUGUGAAAGUCUAAUUCUACUUUGCUCUUCUGAGGGGAUACAUACCUUCCUUGCUUUUGAAACUUUAUGAGGAGAAUGAGAUGCUCUUCUUUUUCUUUUCUCUCAGGUGGGUAUCUUGCACCCCUAAUUCUACUGUCGGACACUUGUCCAUUUUUACCUCUCGUCUCACUUUUUCUUUUCUUUCGAGGUUCCGAGCACUUGCUCCUUUUUAUUUCCUCGUAUUAUUCUUCUCUCUCUCUUUUUUUAGAGCAUUCAUCUCUUGAGAUAAUAUAGCAAGUGGUAGUAACAAGAUAACUUGAGCAUUUAUUUCACAAGGGGAAAACAGAAAAUAUUUUUGGUUAUUCUCUCCCGGAUUAGGAGUAGAAUAUUUUCAGGUGGUUCUGGAGAUGGAAUGGGUGGAUAUAUGUGGAUGGUACUUCCGGAGUAGAAGUAGCAUAUAUGAGUGAACGUGCAAGUGAAAUCUUGAUUUAACCACAUGACAAGCUCCUAAGGGUCUACACAGCUUGACCACACUCAAUGCUCAUAAGCAGUAAAUAAUAAAUGUGUGGCUCAAGGUCUAGCAAGCAUGUAUAUAUGGCUGUGGUAGGAAUUUAAGCUCUCAUCAUACAGGAACUCAUCAUGCAACAUUUUAAAGAUUUUCAAAGAUAAAUUCUCCAGAAUUCUAGCAUCUCUAGGAACAGAUAAACAGCAGCUCAACCUUCCUAUAUCGUAUCCGUUAACAACUUAGACUUCAGAUCAAGUUUUCAUCCCACAAGUUUAGGUCUAGGGCAAGCUUUAAAUUAUAACAGUUAUGUCUAAACUUGAGAGAGAACUUAAAAUGUGCAAAUUAGGCAGAGCAACUAUUCAUCAUAUCCAUGCUUAAGUUUUAUUAGAUACAGAUUAGCAUAGCCACUUUAUUUAUUAAUUAAACACACUAAGUAAUAUAUAUAAGCAUAAAAUCUUUAUUUGGUUUUCCCAUAGUUUAUGUGUAUUAAUAUUCUAAAAUAAAUAUAAAGAUAGAUAGAUAGAAAUACUUAUUGAGAUAAAUGGGGGUGCUCUCCCCCAAGCUGAAUUUUGACGUAAUUUCUCUUGAUGUAGCUAGCAGGUGGCAGAGGUGUAUUUGAAAGCAGCAUUCUGACAGCGAUUAGAAUGUCCUCUAUCUGCUAGUCUUCUUGAUUCUUAAAUUCUGUGGAGCUCAAAUAGACAACAAAGCUUGUGGAACUGAUUAAGUGUUAGCAUAAAUAUCUAGCCUUUAUCAUCUUGAGACUCCUUAAUUAUUACUCCCUGUUUUUAUAUUUUUAUUUUUAUAAAGCAGAAAAAAUAUUUAUUUUAUUUUUAUGCCACCACAGUGAAUGUACGUAUGGGUUUUAUGCCGCUCGUCUAUUCACAUGGGGCUUACUAUUUUUCACAUUUUUAUUUUCUUUUAUUUUUUUUAGAUAGUAUGAAUAUGAUUAACUAAGUAAACUAUUUAAAAUAAUUGAAAGGGAAAGGAUAACUACCAAGUUUACCUCUUGGCAAGGCGUUCGGUGUUUUUAAGUCCUCCGAACGGGAGUCUCCAAUUUCUUAAUCGUCCUGAGGUUCGUUGGGUGGCGUAGUCGGUACUUCCGGCAGCGCCUCCUCUUCUUGUAUAGUUAUCUUCAUUCUCCACACCUGACUCGGUGCUUCAACCUCCUCUGGAUAAUUCUGUUUAAAUUCAACGUCUUCUGACCUUACAACUUCUCCUUCAUAGUCUGCCCAUCCGUCCUUAAUGAUCUGCCUCCUCUGGUUGCGGUUGCGUCUCUUUCUUACCUGCUUAGAUUCUUCAAUGAUAUAGUUAGGGUCAGUAAAAUAACAGCGUACCUUCUCUGAGGGGAAGUGCAUAUGGACUUCUCCGGUUCCAAUGUAGAUAAUGGCUUUAACGGUGCUGAGGAACGGUCUUCCAAGGAUGAUGGGUGGUUUAUACUCGUCUUCUCCCAUAUCAACAACUUGAAAGUCUGUGUAGACAAAAUGAUCGUCUAUUUUGACUGGGACAUCAAAUACUAUUCCUUGAACUUCUCGAAAUGUCUGAUCUGCCAUCUGGAGCUGAAUGUAUGUUGGUCUUAGUGGCAUGGUCCCGAACAAGAGCCGAUAGGUGACUGCGGCCAUUAUGUUGACGCCUGAUCCGGUGUCGCAAAUCGUCUUAUAGAAGUUGUAUCCAUUUAUGGAGCAGUAAAUGCUUGGCAUUCCUGGGUCGUCCUUCUUAUUCAAAAACGGUGACUUCAGUUGGUGAUCUUGGUCUCCAUGGACUACAGUGACCAUCUUAGCUGACUCGGUCCACACUUGCUUGUUCCUGUUCCUCCUGUUGGUCCUCUUCCUUGAUUGACGUCUGGAUUGAUUUGGAAUUUGUGUAGUCUUGUUUUUGAAGAAAAAUGUCUCCUUCUUCCCUUUGACGUAGAAACUGAUCUUGGCAGCACUGGCGUAGAUGAUAGCUCCCGUGGUGUUCAAGAAUGGCCUCCCUAAGAUGAUAGGUGCUCUCUCAUCAUUUCCGGUCUCUACCACUACGAAGUCUGCUGGGGCAUACAAGGUACCAACUCGGACACAAAGGUUCCUCACUAUUCCUUUUGGAAAAGUUAUCGUCUGAUCUGCAAACUGCAAACACAUGGUUGUCUCUAAUAAAGGAUAUGUAAAGAAUUUUUCAUAGAGUACCCUGGGUAUAAUGUUGACACUGGAGCCAAAGUCACAGAGUGCUUCUGGGAAGUCCACCAUGCCGAUGGAUAUCGGGAUGACGGGGCGUCCUGGAUCGCCUCUCUUGACCGGCAGACGGUCAGUAGAAAAUUCAUUGACGGGGUUACUCCAAUUACCUGCAUCAAACACGUCUACAAGAUUUGC